AUGCGGACAUCAGUACCUGGAGUCGUGGAGAGGACAAGUGCAACGGACAUGCGAGUCUAGCCAAGGGUAAAGGAGAGACGAUCUCCCUUGUUGGGCAAGUCAAUGACGAAGGGGAGACGACUGUCAUUGAUUUGCCUUCUCUAGACUCCUAUCCCAUCACAAAGAAGCCAUCAAACCUCUCGGCUCACGUUCCAGCCGAACCAGACCAGAAAAUAUCAACCGACUUGACCCGACGCCGAGAAAACCUCUCAAAGUCAACCGACGUCAAUUUUGAUGAGUUAAACUACUCCAGCUUCAAGAUUCAUCAACCAAACACCUACAAGAAGACAUUUUGUCGUGGAAGAAUUCCCCUGGAGCGAGUUCAUUUAGAAGUUGCCCGAGACCCUCCAUUCAGAGCCUACCGAGAGCCGAGUCAUGAGUUCACGCUUUGUUUCUCUUUUUCAAGUGUUGCUGCGAAUUCUCAAGUCACUGGAUAUCAUAUUAGACGUACAUGGAAGAGAAAAGAAAGCUCAGAAUCUAUUUGGAGCGUUCACACUAAAGAAAAGCCACCUAGACCAAGACUUGCCUUAAACGGAACCGUUCACACUUGUGUUCACACCAGGCGACUUCUACACUUAAAAACUCGUGGUCCCACUUUCAAGAGACGUCCUCCAAGGCUUCAAGAAGACAUAUUUUGGCCAGAACAAGUUUUCCUUUUGUGCCUUAGACAUUAAAAUGUCAAACGGCUCUUUUCUCAUUAUUAGCAAAUCUUUGUUUCCUUUUCUUUGUUUUGUGAACGUUGAGCAGACUCUUUAUAAGCUCUUCGUCUCUUUCUUUGUUGGGGACACAUCUCUAUUCUAAUAAACUUCAGUUUUUGUUUCAAAGCUUUGUGCCUUUGAUUCUGUUCUUGUUUUAUCGAUUUCUCUUAAGUAUUGUGUGUGGAAUUUCCCUUGCUUAAGAAUCGAUUGAUCCUGUUCUUUCUAGUGCGUGGUUAUCCCCAGGAAAGUCAGUAUCAACCCUUGUUUGUCUCAGCAAAAACCGCACCUGAGCCAAGCUUCCAUCAUUCACCAUCGAUCCACCCUUCCGCAUAAGCCUUUUAGAGCCAUGAGGCCUUUGGUUUAAAGACUUGAUCUCGAGUCUUACAUCAUUGGUAUCAGAGCUUCAAAAGCUCCUAUCUAUCAGGUUAUUUCGUUCCUUUCAUUAGUUUUUCAUUAGUUUUCAUAUUUCUCAUAAAAAUCCUAAAAAGUAUUGUUUAUCGUUAGAUCUGUUGUUUCAAUUUUAUAAAAAUCAUAAAAAAAAAACCUAGAAAAAUUUUCUUUUGCUAUUUUAGUUUCCUAACCCCUUAUAAAAGCCAAAAAAAAUUAUUACUAGAAAUUUAGAAAUCGAUUUAUUAGUUUUAAUCCAAGCAAACUCAAACUAGAAAUUUUCUGCAAUUUUUCUGUUUUGUGAUUUUGUUUUGAUUUGAAUAAAACAUUGAUUUCUUUUGAAUCUUCUUGUGAGAGGUACCAUGGGAGAUGUUGUUGAAGACCCUGUUGCUACCAUGGCCCGAGCCUUCACAGCCUUUCAAGAUGAAGUGAGAAACAUGGGCUUAAGGCUAGAACAAAACAUCGCCAACAUAGGCGAGAGACUUGGCUGUGUUGAAGCACCACCCAACGGUGCAAACAGAGGCGCCCCACCACCCCAAGCUGACCAGCACGAAGAUAACAUGCCAGAUCUUGAAGAUGAUUUGCCCCCUGAUCGAAACAGAGCCCCGGAUCCACAACUACGACAACCUCGCCGGAGAGAUCCAAUGAACCGAAACCGGAUCCAUGAAGAGGUUCAAGGGCCGAACAAUGACUUGAAGAUGACUCCUCCUACCUUUGCUGGGAAGGUGGAUCCAGAUGCCUACCUUGAUUGGGAGAGGCGUAUGGAGUAUAUCUAUGAGUGCUACAACUACCCGGAGCCAAAGAAAGUCACCUUUGCGGCUGCUCAACUAACUGAUCAUGCCCUUGCCUGGUGGGAUCGAGCGAUGGCUGAGAGAAUACACUACAGAGAAUGACCACUCAAUUCUUGGGUGGAGAUGAAAACCUUACUCAAGCGGAGAUAUGUCCCACCUCACUACCACCGCGAUCUUCAAAGAAAAUUCAGAAAACUGUACCAGGGUCAAAGGACAGUAGAAGAGUACUAUGAUGAGUUUGAGAUCUUGAGGAACAGGCUGGAGCUAGAGGAAUCAGAAGAGACACUCAUGUCCCAUUUCAUUGAAGGUCUCAAUGACCGAAUCGCUAGAAAAGUGGAGAGACAACCAUACCAUCAACUUCACGAGCUGUUGCACCUAGCCAUCCAAGUGGAGCAACAGAUAAAGAAGAAGACAUCUACUGCUCAGAAAGCUAAGUCUAAUCCGCUAACAUGGAGUGCACCAACACCUCAGCCCAUUGACAAAGGAAAGUCCCUUGAAAUUGAAUCUCGAUUCAAAAGUAAGGUGCAUGACUCCUUUAGAGAUGUGCGCCAAGAGCAAGGUAAGUCUUCUACUCCUUACCACACACGUGAACUGACUUGUUACAGAUGCAAAGGAAGAGGUCACAUAUCACGUGACUGCCCAAACCCAAGGGUGAUGAUCGUUUUGCCAUCCGGUGACUAUGAAUCGCAAGAUGAAGAAGAACCUGAGAAUGAUAAGGAGACUGUCGAAUAUGCUGAUGAAGGAGAAUCUCUGGUUAUACUAAGAGCUUUAAACGCUCAGGUUUUUGAAGAAGACAAAGCCCAAAGAGAGAAUCUCUUUCACACUCGUUGUACCGUGAAAGACAAGGUAUGUCAUCUCAUUAUAGAUAGCGGUUCUUGUACUAACAUUGCAAGUUGUUUGAUGAUUGAGAAGCUAGGUUUUACUACUACAAGUCACCCUAGACCUUACAAGCUUAAGUGGCUGAAUGACAAAGAGGAGCUGAGCGUUUCCAAACAAGUGAAAGUUCCCUUUUCAAUCGGCGACUACAAAGAUGAAGUAGUGUGUGAUGUUGCACCAAUGGAAGCUGGCCAUAUCCUCUUAGGACGACCAUGGCAGUAUGACAGAGAGGUAUCACAUAAUGGGAGAACAAACCAAUACUCUUUCAGUUUUAACGAUCGGAGGAUCACACUUGCCCCAUUAGAUCAUUCGGAAGUCUGUGUGAUGCAAGCUAGAGCAAAAGAGAAAAGGCAACUCAAGGUAAGUCUUUUUCUACAAAAAUCUGAACCUUUACCUUCCUUAGAGCCCAUAACACACUUGUCUUUGCCAAAAGAGUCAAAAACAGGUUAUGAGAAGCUUGCGGCCACAGAGUUCAUCAAGAAAUCAACAAAGGAUGCACUCGAUAUUCACUCAACGUGGAAGGACAGCAAGGCAAGAAUGAAAGAACAUGGCUACCUCUACUCAAUGCUGAUCAGAGAAGCCCCACGAAUAUCAGACCAACCACCAAAACCGAACCAACACCAAGGUAAGCUUCUAAACCAAUACUCGGGAUACAAGUCUAACUUACUCUAUUUUGGUGCAGGUCAUAUGGUUUCGAGGUCGAAACCUCUUCAAGAGAGAGGGUAUGAUGCGGACAUCAGUACCUGGAGUCGUGGAGAGGACAAGUGCAACGGACAUGCGAGUCUAGCCAAGGGUAAAGGAAAGACGAUCUCCCUUGUUGGGCAAGUCAAUGACGAAGGGGAGACGACUGUCAUUGAUUUGCCUUCUCUAGACUCCUAUCCCAUCACAAAGAAGCCAUCAAACCUCUCGGCUCACGUUCCAGCCGAACCAGACCAGAAAACAUCAACCGACUUGACCCGACGCCGAGAAAACCUCUCAAAGUCAACCGACGUCAAUUUUGAUGAGUUAAACUACUCCAGCUUCAAGAUUCAUCAACCAAACACCUACAAGAAGACAUUUUGUCGUGGAAGAAUUCCCCUGGAGCGAUUUCAUUUAGAAGUUGCCCGAGACCCUCCAUUCAGAGCCUACCGAGACCCGAGUCAUGAGUUCACGCUUUGUUUCUCUUUUUCAAGUGUUGCUGCAAAUUCUCAAGUCACUGGGAUAUCAUAUUAGACGUACAUGGAAGAGAAAAGAAAGCUCAAAAUCUAUUUGGAGCGUUCACACUAAAGAGAAGCCACCUAGACCAAGACUUGCCUUAAACGGAACCGUUCACACUUGUGUUCACACCAGGCGACUUCUACACUUAAAAACUCGUGGUCCCACUUUCAAGAGACGUCCUCCAAGGCUUCUAGAAGACAUAUAUUGGCCAGAACAAGUUUUCCUUUUGUGCCUUAGACAUUAAAAUGUCAAACGGCUCUUUUCUCAUGAUUAGCAAAUCUUUGUUUCCUUUUCUUUGUUUUGUGAACGUUGAGCAGACUCUUUAUAAGCUCUUCGUCUCUUUCUUUGUUGGGGACACAUCUCUAUUCUAAUAAACUUCAGUUUUUGUUUCAAAGCUUUGUGCCUUUGAUUCUGUUCUUGUUUUAUCGAUUUCUCUUAAGUAUUGUGUGUGGAAUUCCCCUUGCUUAAGAAUCGAUUGAUCCUGUUCUUUCUAGUGCGUGGUUAUCCCCAGGAAAGUCAGUAUCAACCCUUGUUUGUCUCAGCAAAAACCGCACCUGAGCCAAGCUUCCAUCAUUCACCAUCGAUCCACCCUUCCGCAUAAGCCUUUUAGAGCCAUGAGGCCUUUGGUUUAAAGACUUGAUCUCGAGUCUUACAUCAGUUCUGCCUGCUGGGAGACCGCUUCUUGGCGCAUCUUUUUCACCCUCAACGUAAGGGUUGGGUUCAGAGAUUCAGACGCAGUAUGGUCUUCGCUGAAAUCCUACUUUUUCUAUGUCUUCUGCAAAUGGUCAUUGUCACUUCACAUGUGUAAGAAUAACACAUUAAAUGCCAUUAUCAUGGGUUGUAAGAGUAUGGGCAAUCGAAUCAAAUUAAGGCAUAUUUCAAUUCUCGAAUGGAAAUAAAUUUGAACCUUGUUUCCCGCUUAAUAGAUUGUUCAUACUUGGCCCAGAUUCUUUGAUACUGAGACCGGACUGUUGGGAUUGUCUCGCUGGCUGGCCACUACUAAAAAAAGACUCUAUAGCUACAGAUUUUUCUGUAGCUGUAGCCUAAAAUCCGUAGCUAUACAGCUAUUUAGCUACAGAAAGUUACGAAAAACAUUUGUAGCUAUAGCUUCAUAGCUAAUUUAAUUUCGUAGCUUUUCCUGACUAAAUUAUCCACGGAUUACUACGACCGUUUUUGUGGCUUUUUGAGCUACGAUUUAGUUAUAGAAGCAUCUGUGACUAGUUAAAUAAAAGCCACGAGUAUAUUCGUGACUAAUCAGUGACUUUUUCAAAAUAAAAAAAAAAAAAUUAAUAACAAUAAUUUGUUAUAUAUUAAUAACAACUAGGAGAGAAUCCGCGCAUAUGCACAGAUCUUGUUUUAAUUUAUAUUUUAAAUAAUACAUUUUUAGAAUUUAUAUUGAAUUUUAUUUUUACCAUCAAUGUUUUUUUGUUUAAAUAUUUAUAUUUUCUGAUUUCUUCUAGAUGAUAAAUUAUUUGUAAUCUCUUCCACACCGGUUGUACCAAAUAAUCCAAUUUUUCUCUUACGGCAAUGAGGGACUAAAGAUCUACUGUUUUAAUCUAUUCUAUUAAAACAGAAGCACAUUUAGUGCUUGCAUCCAAACAUUCCCAAAGUUUUUUUAUAAUAUUUUAUCUUAUUUUUAUAUUUAAUUUCCGAAAUUAGUUAUUAAUUUAUAUAUUUUUAGAUUUCCUAAAAUCUAGGUCAUCUUUAAUUUAAAUUUCAAAUUAUUAGAAAUUUAAUUAAAUUUAGUUACAAAAAUUUGCAUUCAAUUUAAUUUAAAUUAAAAAAAAUCAAAAAAUUAUAAUUAAAUUUUAUUACAAAAAUUUAGAUAAUAAUUUUAAUACUUUAGAAUUUCUUAAAUACAGAAAAGAUUUAAUUUAAAAUUUUAAAUUUAAAUAAUUUUUUUUAUAAAAAUACAUAGUAAAUAAAUAUUUUAUCGUAUUUUAUCAUAAACAAUCGGUAUAAAAUAUCAAAUAUUUAAGAGUAAUAAAUAUUUAUAUUAUACAAUAAUAUGAUUGAGCUGAUUAGAGUUAUAUAUAUAUAUAUAUUUAAGGUCUAUGAGUUAAUUUAUUAAAACAUGUAAGAUAUUAAAAUGAUUUGAAACAAUUAAACUAACAGGUUAACUCGUUUAUAUAUAUUUAUAUAUAUAUAUAUAUUUUAAUAAUACAAAUAAUAAAUAAAUAUCUUAUCUUAUAUUUUUUCAUAAUCAAUUAGUCCAAAUAUUUCAUAUUAGUAAAUAUUUAUAGGAUUAUACAAUUAUAAUUAUAAUCUUAUAUGGAUUAGUUUGUCAAAACAUGUAAGAUAUUAAAAAUGAUUUAAGACAACUAAACGGAUGGAUUAGCAAAUUCAUAGCUAUAAAGAUUGUUUAUGUGUAAAUCUAAAUUCACAUAAUAACAAAGUUUAUAAUUAACAUUAAAUCAAUGUAUACUUAAUUAACGUAUACUUUUAUUCUACUAAUAUACAAAUUUUACUGUUUAAAAUUAAAAUAUGCUAACAAUUUUUUUAUUUAAAAAAAUAAAUAACAAAAAAAAUUAUAUCUAAACAAAAAAGAUAAAUGCAACUUAUAUUAAAAAUAAAAAAUAAUACAUUUCCGUGCGGACGCACAGGGUUAAAAUCUAGUUUAUAUAUAAAACGUAAUAGCUCAUAGAAAAAUUUACCAUUUUGAGUUUUUUUGGUUAUAUAUAUUUUAUUGAUUACAUCUUUUUAAAAAUUACUAAAAAAUUUUGUAUGACAUUUUUAUGUAUCCACUUUAUUUUUUACUAUUAUUUUUUAAUAAUUUUUUAUCUCUUUAAUUAUUUAUUGAAUAUUUUGUAUAUUAUAAUUUUAUUAGUUAAAGUUUUAUAUAAGAUUAUUUAAAGUUUCUUAAUUUAUUCAAUCUGAUAAUUUUUUUUCACUUUCAUAAAAAUUUAGUUAUACUUUUAGUUUGAAAAUAUGGUUUAAAUCAUUUAGAAAGAAGAAAUGGAAUGAUGUAUUUCAAAAAAUUUUAUAUUAUAUAAUAUUUAUAACUUUUGAUAUAUUUAAAAUAAAUUUGAAUUUAUUUAUUUAAAUACAUUUGUUAUACAUAUUAAUAUUUAUUAAUGUUUUUUAGUGUUUUUUCUUUAAAUAUAAUUAAUUAUUUAUUUCAUUAAAAUUUUAAAUAAACAAGUAUGCGUUGCAAUCUUUUUCUGUCCGUGAGGAUCCCACCAAAGCGCCUUGCACUUCUAAUAGGCCAUGAAAUAGAUCUGAAUCAUUCUCAAUGAAUCCAUAAGAAGUGAUCCUAUUUUUUUCAUCGGGUCCGGGUAGAGACCAAAGGUCUUGAGCGACCGAUCCGGCAGAACAACUCAAAAGAUAAAGAAGUAUCGUAAAUUUCUUCAUGCUCGUUCCAAGUUCGAAGUACCAUUUGUACAAAUAAGAAUCCCCUUCGUUACAUGAUUUCUUCUUCAUAUAGAUAGAUAUAGGAUCUACAAGUAGCUGGAGAAAGUUGGCCAGUUUUAUAUAUAAGAUAAUCUGAAUACAAUAUGUAUUAUCUAUAUCUAUAUAUCUUUGCAAAACGGAGAUAUAGCAGUGGGCAUCAGCGGUUGGCGGCGGAUAUCACCGGCGGUCAGUGGUGGUGAUUGCAAGAACGGGAUCGGCGUGAACGCUAAAGCAGCGGUGAUGAACCCAUUUCCUCAACGAAAUCAGUGCUCAAAGAUUUCUCUGUCAGACCAAAUCAGGUAAAACCUCACUCUUAACGGCGGAACGUUGGCGGCGAAGAGAUCUAAAAAAAGUUAGAUCUGAAAAAGAUUAGGAAGGAGACGAAGAUGAGAAAGAAGAAGAGGAAGGAGAAGAGAAAACUUAUCAGACGGUGGCAAUGAUUUUUGAGUAUCGGCGUUGGAGGCGAGAAAGAGAAACAGAUUAGUUUCUUUUUUUGACACAGAAGUAGAUCUGCGUUAUGAGAUGAAGAAAAAAGGAGAGGAUUUGUGUCUGUUGGAUUUAAUUUUUAUCCAACGGUGGAUGUUAUAGUAAAGUGUGAUCCUCUCCCCUAAUAAGUAACCAAUGAGAAGCCAGUCUUUUGAAAGUUCAAUAACGCUUUCAUUACUUUGUCAUUAGUGAGAUUAUAUUGCAAUUUUCAGUAACGAUUGAUAAAUUAAUACUAGAUAAUUAAAUGAUCCAAACCAAAUACAGAAACAUUCAUUAAUUUUUUUUAAAUUAUUUCAAAGUUAUAACUAUCAAAUAUUCGUUAAAGUUAAAAAAAAAUUUUUAUUAAACACCAUAUCUGUGUGAACCAAAACUCACACAACCAAAAAUUUGUAAGGAAAACUUAAAAAAUCCGAAAUUUUUAUGGUAAUCGCAAAAACAAUAAGAUCAAAAAAAGUUUUUUUUGCUGAAAAGUGUUUAGGUUUUAUUGCUCUCGAGUUGUGUAAAGUUACAUAAUGAAUCGUAUAAGUCGCUUAUUUAUACUAACUCUCUCAACCGCCUCUCCAAAAAAUCUCGGGAGAGAUUUUUGGAAUAUAUCCUUAUCCUGUCGUCCGGCCACCGUCAUAACGCUUUUGCCUAGGUUUCAGUAGGCUCGCAUCUUUUGGCUCGGCCCACUUUCUCUUGUGCGCAGCUCGGCCCAUCUUCUCUUAUGCACGGCUCGGCCCGUUUGAAUGUCCUUCACGCGGCUUGGUCCACUUACUUCUUCCUCACGGCUCGGCCCAUUCACAGCUUGGCCUACUCCUCCUAUGUGCGGCUCGGCCCAUACUUGAUGGAUCGCUGGUUCUCAUUGCCAAAUCGGCUCUCCGAUGUCCUUGAGAUGGUUUAAACCGAUUGGGGUAAAACCGACCCCAACAGUUAGCCCCCCAGCUCGUCAGUUUCAGAGGUGAGAGUGACGAGAUUUAUCAUUCCUAGUCGUGGAAUUAACCAUCGAGUUGAACCUAUCGUGGGAUGAUCACAGGCGAGACGUAUCGGGAACGAGAUUGCCGAGCCGUUAUGGAGGCGAGGUGACCGACAUGAGGGACAAUGCCGAGCUGUUUUGGCGGAGGUUAUGCCGAGGCGUUCUGGUGUAGGUAACGACGAGGCGUUUUUCUAAGAAAAUUGCCGAGCCGUUUUGCAUUAACGAUAACGACAAGGCGUUUAUGUUAAUAAUGCCGAGCCGUGUUUCAAGGUAACGACGAGGCGUUUUUCUAAGAAAGUUGUCGAGCCGUUUCGUGUUGAUGAUAACGACGAGGCGUUUAUGUUAAUAAUGCGGAGCCGUGUUUCAAGGUAACGACGAGGCGUUUUUUUAAGAAAGUUACCGAGCCGUUUCGUGUUGACAAUAACGACGAGGCGUUUUUCUAAGAAAGUUGUCGAGACAUUUCGUGUUGACAAUAAAGACGAGGCGUUUUUCUAAGAAAGUUGCCGAGCCGUUUUUUGUUAACGAUAACGACGAGGCGUUUAUGUUAAUAAUGCCGAGCCGUGUUUCAAGGUAACGACGAGGCGUUUUUCUAAGAAAGUUGCCGAGCCGUUUCGUGUUGACAAUAACGACGAGGCGUUUUCUAAGAAAAUUGCCGAGCCGUUUCAUGUUGACAAUAACGACGAGGCAUAUUUCUAAGAAAGUUCCAUUUGCGUUAACGAUAACGACGAGGCGUUUAUGUUAAUAAUGUUGAGCCGUGUUCAAGGUAACGACGAGGCGUUUUUCUAAAAAAUUUCCAAGCCGUUUCGUGUUAACGAUAACGACGAGGCAUUCUUAUGAAAUUGUCGAGCUGUAUUGACAAAGCGUGGUUCAGUUCACACAGCUUGAUGAGAUAUUCUCAGAUAACCAUAGCUGUGUUGUGGGCUCGGUUUACCUGGACAACUCAAUACGAGAAGCGUUUAGCAGCCGUUAGUUCUCUCCAAGACAUUUUGGGUGUUGGCGCGUAUGACGGACGCGCCAAGAGAUUAUGCAUUCGCUGCGGACUUCACGCGCCUUCAUUGAAUACCUUUGCGUCAUCCCGAGGUCCACGCGGACUCCACGCGCUUCGGUCGUUCUAUAAAUAGGUGAGCUGCUCCGUUCCUUCUCAUAAUCUUCAGAUCUUCUCGUUCUUACUAAAAGGUAGCUCUCCCUUCUCUCUUCUUUCUCUCUCUAGUUUAUUUAUUUCCCGGCUAGGGUUCCGAGGUCUCCGCUGCUCCAGAUCUUUUUCCGACAAAAGUUCGCCGCGUAGCAUUGUAAUUCCCGUACAAGCUGUAAAUCAUGUCGAACCAUUCCGACGAUUCGUUGGAUUUGCUUUUUAACUACGAGCCGAGCCGUGUAGAUGCCGAGGUGAGAGGUAUAACAGGAUCCUCCGAGGCGUCUGUCUCGCUGAGCCCUUCCAACCGUUCAUCUGAAGGUGACGAGGCGUCGAAUCGCUCAAGUCCAUCAGGUGCUUGCUCUCCAAACGAUGAGCCGUCAGUUUCGACGAGCCGCCCUCAAGGUCCUGCUUAUAAUGAAGAUGUUGGUUAUGCCACAGUGAAAGCUGAGGAGGAAGCAUUUCCCUUCGAUCUGGUCGAGGCGAAGCUUGAACUAGAACGCCUCAUGGCAUCGCGAGGCGCUUCUUCAUCUGGGCAAAGGAAACAAAAACGAGUGAAAAGACAAAAACCUGACCCGUCCGGCUCCACGCUCUCUUCCCCCGACUCACUCGAGGCGUUGAGAUGUCGUUUCGGGAUAUCUGAGGCGGUGGAAUUCGUCCUUCCAGAAAAGAAUGACCGAGCUGACAAACCCCCUGAGAAUCACUUUACUCUGUACGGGGCGUUCUUCGAGCUUUGUUUUCUCUGGUUUCCGAUCCCUGGAGUUAUCCUCGAGUACCUUUGGAAACAUGGGAUCUCGAUCGGGCAGAUUAUGCCGAGGGGUUUGCGACACAUGAUCGACAUUCUGGUUUGAGGCUUUGAAUGCGGGUUCGACAUUGAACUGAAUCAUUUGCUGAACUUGUUGGAGAUCAGAAAAGCUCCGAAGGGAGAUAGAUUUUAUAUCUCCAACAAGUCCAAUCGCCGGAUCAUAGGUGGUUUUCCAAGCAGAGAUCAAUUUUGGACCGAGCGCUUUUUCUAUGUCUUGGUGAACGAGGCGUCAGUUGGCGAGGAUUACGUUAAAAAAACCAAGACCUCUUGGGGACCACUUGGUAGCCGAUCCAAAGCUUUGCCUCGGCUCGGAUCUGUUAUGGUAUAGUCUUUCCUUACUGAGCUGGUUGUUUUUGUGUUGUUUUUGCAGUUCGGAGCAUUCUUCCCCCAAUUCCCAACGCCCUCUUUGUUGUUCGAGAUUCUCUUGCGGCUCUGAGAGUUAAUUGGAGGAAUCAUUUUACAUUUGAGAAAGUGGAAAGAGCGCGAGCCAUUCUUGCCAGAGUACCUGUUAGCUCUUUGUCUUCAAAUUCUUCAGAGGAUACAAGGGAGAAAAUGGUGAUCAUCACUCUCAGAGACAAAAAGAGGCGUGAAGAAGAAGAGGCUGCAAGACGAGCUGCUGAGGCGGCUCACACGGAGGCCGAGGCUGUCCCUCAAGACAAUCCGCCGAGCCGUGAUGGUGAAGGCACGAUCCGAGCUGUGGAGGCGAACGUUGCCGAGGUGAAUGAGAAAGAAGUGGCGCCCGAGGUGGAACUAGGCGAAAUUAUUCCCGAGGCGCCCAAAGACGACUCUGCGGCGCGGACUAAAACUCCUUCAAACUUGGCUAUUUUGGCUCUCUAUUUUGGCUCUUCCGAACCCAUCGAGGCCCCCGGCUUCGCAUCUACAGAAGCAUGAUUCCGGUCGAAAACGUUCGGCCGCUGAUAAAGGGAAAGGCGUGGCUGUUCAGAAAAACGAGCCGCCUAAAAAGAAACGCAAGCCGGUGUCUGGCGACGCCUCGGCGGUGAUGUUCUCGCGUGUCAACAAUGCUAAUACGCGUCUUCCUCCUCCUGAGAAGCUGAGGAGACCAAGAUCUUAUGGCGCGAUGGCACAGCGCGGCACCAAGGUCUGUUCUGUUUAUUUUCCUUGUUUUAUCAAAUUCUAGCUAAGUGUUUAACGCGCACUAUUCUUCACAGUUUGUAGCGACUAUCAACGAGCUGAUGGCCGAGUACGAGGCGGACCUGUCUAAGGUCGAGCGUCGCCUGGACGAGGCUCGGAACGAGACCGCAGCGGCGAAGGGGAAGCUUGACGAGGCGAUGACCAGAGCAAAGAAGCUGGAAGAGGAGAAGAUAGCUAUUCGUGCUGACGUCGACAAGGUAUCUGCCUCGGUCAUUCGCCUUGAGGAGGCAAGGAGAGCCAAAAGCGCUGAGGUGGCGUUGCUUAAGAGGCGUAUCGAGGCCAAGGAUGCCUUGUUUGAUGCUAAGGUCAAGCAUGCGAAGAAGGAAGCGAGGCGAGAAUUGACGGCUAAGUUUCAGGAACGCCUCGCCAAGGUGGAGGAAGGUCUAGCCAAGCUCGAGAAGGCUAAAACCGACGAGAACGAGUUGGGGCAGAUCAAGGGAAAUCUUGCUAUGAUCAACGACCUGAGGAAACCGGAUGGCCCAACACUUGAUGAUGAGGAGGCGAAGCUAAAAGAUUGGGAGCGCGAAUACGUUGAUGAUGAGGCGUAUGAUCGCAUUGCUUCCGAGAUCCGAGGUGAGCUCGUCUUCUCGCCCGUGUCGCCGGACUCCGUAGACACCGGUCUGGGUAACGAACCGAUCGAGGAGACAGCGGCUAACCUGGGCGUUGUAGAUCCGACCGGAUCAAAUGCGGGUACACCGGCCCUUUCGAACCUUCUCGCCGAACGGGAAACACAGUCCGCGGCUUGACUCUUUCCUUCUUCCUUUGCCUUUUAUUUCACGCGUUUUGUACUGAAGGCCUGGAUGGCUUUAUCUAUUUUUUGAACUCUUGUACAAUUGGUGCCUGGACGGCUUUAUCCACUUGACUCUUGUGUUUUUGUUUCUUUUUAUGUCGUUGGAAAUAUUUAGCAAUGGUUAUCGCAUUCGUCUUUCCCCUUAGUCAUUUUUGAAAUCGCUGUUUCUGCCUUUGGCGGUUUAUAAGCUUUCAAGGCAGAUUUGGUCAGAACGAGCUCGCGCUAGAAAGAGCUGGCGUAAGUGGGCCGAGCUGUUGUCGGCUGGUUUGUCGAGCCGGGCUGAGGGAACUUUUGUUUGCUUUCCUGGCCGAAUCGUUACAAGAGAUUGAUAGAAACGGGACAUGCUGUUACAGAUUCUAUUUCACUCUAAAUCCCGGGCUGGGGGUUGACUCUUUAAAGAGAUUGCCGUUCUUUUGUGUCUUCGACCGUGGGUGCCGAGGUGUACGAGUUAGGAAAGAUUUAGUGCGAAGGCAUUUUAGGUCGGAUUUAGUUUUGACCGUUUGAGGCGCUAAGUUUGGAACUCUUGUUGCCGAGGUCCAUAUCCUGAGACGAUAUCAAAGUUUGAUUGUAGACCGGCAUUCUCGAGAGGGAGAAUGUGUUUAGCCGGGUUUUAAGAGUUCGUUUCGGUUUUAGAGAAAGCGAUGUAGUCUCGACUUAUAAUCUCGUGUGCGAUGACGAACCGUGGUGACCGAUACGUUUUUAGUCUUAAAUUUGUAUAGCGCGCUUGAUUUUAAUCCAUAGAGGAUGUAACUUGCACCCUCGUCCUAGGAAAGGUGGUUAAAAGUCCGUUUGGAGAACUUUGUGACUGUUGCCUCGUUGUGGCCAGCAACGAGGCGAAGUGUUUGGAGACGUAGUUUGCCGAAGUGAAUGCAAGGACAAGUAAAAGUCUAGGAGAAAUGUACAUCAAUGACGAAAACUUGCCGAAGUGACAAAUGAACGAAUUAAAAAUCCGAGGUGAACAUGAAACAAGUAGCUGAUUUAAAACGAAUGAGAAACUAGCCGAAGCGACAAUGAAUGAAUCAAAAUUCCAAGGUGAACAUGAAAAAAACUAAAUGGUUUAAAACGAAUAGAAAAUUGGCCGAAGUGGCAAUGACACUAGAGAUGGUAGACGAGCUAAAAUUAUAGAGUUAAUGAAGGUAUGUGUAUACAUACCCACUCCCCCCCCCCCUUUUUAGGAGGAGGGACAGCUGAACCCGUCCGAGGACGGGCUGCCUACGUACCCUUUGCAGGGAUCAAGCCGUCCCGUAGUUCAUGUUGACCGUGUUGUAGCCUUAGGGAUAAUACUUCUUCAGGUGCAUUGCGUUCCACGAUCUUGGAAUUGCUUCGCCAGCUACCGACGCAAGUUCGUAGACUCCUGGGCGAACUACUUUUGUAAUCUUGUAAGGACCUUCCCAAUUUGCUCCGAGCUUUCCCGCAAUCUUCUCGGCAGUGUUUUGGAAAACUUUUCGAAGAACGAGCUCUCCUUCUUUAAAUCUUUGACUUCAGACAUUUUUGUUAUAGUAUCUCGCCGUUGCUUAUUGGUAGUUCUGGAUUCAGAUUAGAGCCUGGUUGACCAAAUCGAGCUCGUCCAGCAUCAUUAAGUGAUUCAAGCCUUCCUGUCCUGGCAGAAGUCUUCGUCGAAUACCUGGAAAUCCACCUCGGGGGGAAUUACGCAUUCCGCUCCGUAGAAUAGAGCGAAUGGAGUCUCUCCAAUGGCUCGGCGCGGGGUUGUCCGAUGCGACCAAAGGACUCCUUCGAGCUCGUCUGUCCAUCGUCCUUUCUUGGCGUCGAGCCUCUUUUUUAAACCGUCUAGGAUCGUCUUGUUGGCUGCUUCGGCUUGUCCAUUCCCUUGGGGAUAUCUUGGCGUAGAUUUACUCAGACGAAUUUUCCAUUUCUCGCAGAAAGCUUCAAAGCGCGUUGAGAUGAACUGGGAUCCGUUAUCGGUGACUAUCUCGUAGGGGACCCCAUGUCGGCAGAUGAAGUUUUUCCAGACGAAGUGUUCGACUUGAGCGUCUUUUAUGCUCGCGUAGGAAUCGGCCUCGACCCAUUUAGAAAAAUAAUCCGUUAGGACGAGAAGAAAGCUCUUCUGCUUCGAUCGAUGUAGGGGUCCGACUAUAUCCAUCGACCAUCUCAUGAAGGGAUAAGGUGACGAGAUCGACGAUAGCAGCUCGGUAGGUUGGUGGAUUGUAGGCGCGUGCCGUUGACACUUUUCGCACUUCGUGGUAAACUUUUCCCAGUCCAUGACCAUUGUAGGCCAGAAGUACCCGUGCCAUUUUAUCUUGAUCGCGAGUGACAUUCCGCUAGAAUGAUUUCCGCACGCGCCGUUGUGCACUUCGUGCAUUAUCUUUCUCGCCUCCGGUCCCACGACGCAUGUCAUGAGCGGUCCUGAAAAUCUCCAUUUAAACACUUCGCCGUCGACGAGGACAUAUCGCUCGGCCUGAGCCUUUAAUUUGCGAGCUUCCCACUUGUCGGAUGGUACUUCUCCAUCGGCGAUAUAUACUCGAAUGGCUCCGAGCCAUUCUUUGUCGCAGCCGUACUCCAGCUCGCCGUUCUCUAGUUCCUCCUCGGGAGGGUUUAUCAGCCGAACUCCUUCUACCUUUUCGAUGCUUGGACGCUCGAUGAAUUCGACUGGAAUUGUCCGUCGGAGAUCCGGAUCUGAGGUUGAAGCAAGUGCUGCCAAGGCGUCUGCCGAGGUGUUUUCACCUCCGGGUAUUCGUGUGAGCUCGAACUCGUUGAACUUUUGCACCAAAUCUCGGACCACUUUGAGGUAGGCUCCCAUUCGUCCAUCGUUCUCCUCGUACUCCCCGUUGAAUUGACAUGCUACGAGUUGUGAAUAAGGCUCUUAUCUUUCGAACUUCAAUUCCCUGCGCCAGUCAUAUGCCAGCGAUCAGUGCUUCGUAUUCUGCUUCGUUGUUCGAGGCGUGGAAGUUCAAACGAAAAGACUGCUCCAAUAUUUCCCCGGUGGGAGAGGUGAGACGGAUUCCUAUUCCCGACUUGUGUUUAGACGACGAGCCAUCGACGUGCAGCAUCCAUACUUCGUCUGGGGUUGGCUCGGUCGUCGCCUCGGCCGGAAGUUCGAUGAGAAAAUCUGCGAGCACUUGUGAUUUCGCAGACGACCUAUGGCCCAUUUGGGGAGCCGCCCGGAUUGGCUCGGGCUGUGCAGGAUCGAGCGCAGUGGAAGUGUAGCGAGCACAACAAUCGAAUGUGAUUGAAAAUACGGACGCAGCUUGCGAGCCGAUACUACAACGGCUAGGGCAACCUUCUUGAUCUGGGGGUAAUGGGUCUCGGCAUCAGUCAGUGUUUGGCUGACGUAGAAGAUGGGUUUUUGCUCGGAUCGCUCUUAUCUUAUCAGCACCCCACUCACAACCGUAGCAGAUACGGCGAUGUAGAGGAAGAGGGGCUCUCCUUCAACUGGUUUCGCUAUGAUCGGCGGGUUCGCCAGAUAACUCUUCAACUCCUGGAAAGCUGCUUCACAUCGCUCGUCCCACUCGAACUUCUUUUUUCCUCGAAGGGUGUCGUAGAAAGGCAGGCACUUAUCGGUAGAACGGGAAAUGAAUUUGUUUAGCGCAGCGACUCUUCCUGUGAGCCUUUGGACUUCUCGCUUCGUUCUUGGAGAGGGCAUUUUGAUCAAUGCCUUGAUCUGCUUAGGAUUCGCUUCGAUGCCUCAGUGAGUCACCAGGUAGCCAAGGAACUCUCCCGAGGUAACCGCGAAUCUGCAUUUCGCCGGGUUUAGCUUUAUGUUGUGUUUGUUUAACUGCUCGAAGCAUUCUUGUAGGUGCGCGACAUGGUCUUUCUCCUCCAGUGAUUUGACCAACAUGUCAUCGAUGUAAACCUCCAUGGUUUUUCCAAUCUGGUCUGCGAACAUUUUAUUGACGAGCCGCUUAUAUGUUGCCCUCGCGUUCUUGAGUCCGAACGGCAUGACUUUGUAGCAGUAUAUCCCGCGAUCGGUUAUGAACGCCGUUUUUUCCCGGUCGUCGGGAUGCAUCAGGAUUUGGUUGUAACCGGAAAACGCGUCCAUAAAUGUUAACAACUUGUUUCCUGCGGUGGCUUCGACGAGCCGGUCGAUGUGUGGUAGUGGGAAACUGUCUUUUGGGCACGCCGUGUUGAGGUCAGUGAAGUCUACAUAGACCUGCCACUUGCCGUUCUUCUUCUUCACAACCACCAGAUUCGCGAGCCAGUCCGGGUAUUUGGCCUCGGCAAUUGAUCCUACUUUGAGCAAUCUCUCCACUUUGUCGUUAACUGCUUUACCUCGUUCGGGUCCGAGCUUCCUCCUUUUUUGCUUGAUUGGUUUGAAGGUGGGGUCAACGCAGAAUUCGACAAUCCUAGUGACUCGACCGGCUACCACAGGGAGCCUAAUUGUGCCCAUAGUCAUUGUUGUUUCUCCUGAAAAUCCGGUUAGAGGUUUGGGGAUCGCCGUCAUCUCGGAGAGAUCGAUUCCCAUCCUUCUGAGUGUCUCCCUGAAAAUAACAUUUACCGAGCUCCCGGUAUCGAUGAGUACUCUCUCUACAUCGUGGUCUCGGAUCGUCAAUUCGAUCACUAGUUGAUCGUUGUGUGGUCUAUCUAUCCCUGCCGUUUCCUCUUCGGCGAAGGAGAUCACCGUGUUCGGAAUAUCGGUCGGCUCCGUCCAAUUUUCCUUCGCUUUGGCUCGGCGCUGGUAAAACUUAAUGGAAGACACCGUGUCUUUGUAAUAUAGGGAUCCACCCAUGAUCAUGUUGAUUCUCUGUCUCGGCUCGGGUCGUUCCUCGGGUUCACCUCUCCUGUCGUGCUUGGUGUUAUCACCUCGUCUGAGAGAAUUUGCUGGUUCUGCCGUGCUGCUCAGCUCGGUUCCCUCUUUUGGCUCAUUAGGGACAAGGUCUUUGAGAUUCACCGCGUUCUGGAGCUCUCCCGCCGCCAUCUUAGCCGCGAGUUUGGCUCCUAGGGUCCGGCAUUGCGCCAUCGAGUGCCCAUAGGUUUGGUGAUACUCACAGAACGCCUUUUCGUCGUAGUUAGUGGGUCUUCUUACCCAAGUGUUGCUGCGCGGCUCUCCUCUUCCUCGUCCAGCGCCUACUUGGUAGUUUUGGGCACCUCCGCUUCUUGGUUUGUCCGAGCUCUGCAUCGUUGGGUUGUUUGAUGGGUUGUCUUUCUUCGAGGGGCACGUCAAGAUUGAGCUCCGGAUCGCUGCUUUCGUCGCUUCGUACUGCUCGUCCAGAUUUUUCAUCUCUUCUUCGUUCACGACGAAAUCUGACGACUGAUGUAAAGCGUCUUGAAUCGUUUGUGGCAUGUUGAGGGCCAUUUCCCGUCGGAAUUCAGAUUUCUACCACAAAGACCGCUUCAGAGCUUCGAGUGUGGUUUUGUCGCUGAUUCCCUCUACUUUGGAUACGACCUCUUUGAACCUUGCCAUGUAAUCCCGAAGCGGUUCAUUCGGUGCUUGGGAUAACGUCCACAGGUCGGCAUCAGAAGUUCCUCUAUCCAUGAACAUUGAGUAUUGCUUAACGAACAAAGCGGAGAGCUGUUGGAAACUGCCGAUUGAAUUGCGCUCCUGUCUUGAAAACCAUUCGAGCGUGGCUCCCUUGAGAUAUUCUACGAAGAGUAGGCAAUAGCCGGCAUAUACUUCCCGCUCGGUCAGAUUGGCAGCGUUCUUUGUGAAAGCUCAGUCCAUUGCUAUCCGGAACGCUGUGAUGUGUGCCUUCGGGUCGGUCGUUCCUUCGUAGAAUGGGAUUCUCACCUUCCCGGGCUCGGGAAUCCUAGCUUCCGUGAUGACCGCCCUGAAUGGUGUUCUCUGGGUUUCUUCGAGCAUUCGAUCGAUCUCGGGUGCGGCACUCGUCGCGUUAUGCACUUGAGACUUCAUGGCGCGUAUCUCGGCCACCGUCCGAGCCAUUGAGGCUCGCAGCUCUUUGAUUUCGAGGGUUUGUGCGUGAGUCAUUCCCUUCAAUUGGCGAGGCCGCUCCCGCUCUUCUCUCCUCGGCUCGUCUUUGCGCUCUGCCUGCUCGAUCCACUGGAGGUUUUUCUCUUCUUCAGUCGGGUCGCCGUGGCGAGCCGGGUCGGUGACUUCAUCAGUUCGGAUGCCGUUUAGUGCCAAAGCGAGCUCUUCUUGGCUAAUUCGCCGAGCCGAGCCGUUCUGCUGCGAGUUCGUGGUUGCAUCGUUCUGUUGGGCGUCCACGUCGAUCGCGUCAUUCUCCUCUUCGUCGGCUCGUCGCCUUGAGUUCCGAUGGAGUGGAGGCGGCUCGAUCAUGUUGAUUCCGGUUGCUGCUGGGGGACGAAACAUUGGUGGAGCCAAAGGGUUUCUUGCGCCGCUACCCGAGGCUUCUGCAGGCGUUGAAAAUCGAAACGUCUCCGGACUCCAUCCAUCGGAUCGGGGAUUCCGGCUCUCCAAGUUGGGUGUCGUCGCUCGGCAGUCAUUGCGCCAAGCCUUUCCGUGAUCGCCUUGUUUCUUUUGUCCUGCUCGUCGAUCUUCUUCAUCAACGCAGCCAUCAUGUUUCGCAUCUCAUCUUGGGUUUUGGUUGUCGUCGUCAUUGUGCCUGAUGCCGGAGCGUCCUUCUCCGCGCCGUUGUCGUUGUUGUUGUUGUUAUCGUCGAGGGUGUUGCUCGCCAUGUUCUUCGGAUCUUAAAGUCUUGUGGAUUUAGAGUAAGAAAGUUUCGAUUCCCCACAGACAGCGCCAAAUUGUGUGAGCCAAAAUUCGCACAACCAAAAAUUUGUAAGGAAACACUUAAGGGAUCCGAAAUUUCUAGGGUAAUCGCAAGAACAGUAAGAUCAAAAGAGGGUUUUUUUGCUGGGAAGUGUUUAGGUUUUAUUACUCUCGAGUUGUGUAAAGUUACAUAAUGAAUCGUAUAAGUCGCUUAUUUAUACUAACUCUCUCAACCGCCUCUCCCGAAAAUCUCGGGAGAGAUUUUUGGAAUAUUUCCUUAUCCUGUCGUGCGGCCACCGUCAUAACGCUUUUGCCUAGGAUUUCAGUAGGCUCGCAUCUUCUGGCUCGGCCCACUUUCUCUUGUGAGCAGCUCGGCCCAUCUUCUCUUAUGCACGGCUCGACCCGUUUGAAUGUCCUUCACGCGGCUCGGUCCACUUAAUUACUUCCUCCUCACGGCUCGGCCCAUUCACAGCUUGACCUACUCUCCCUAUGCGCGGCUCGGCCCAUACUUGAUGGAUCGCUGGUUCUCCUUGCCAAAUCGGCUUUCCGAUGUCCUUGAAAUGGGUUAAACCGAUUGGGAUAAAACCGACCCCAACAAUAUCCAAACCAUAAACUAAAUAAAGAUCAAAUCAUAUUAAUAAUUAUACUUCAAUUCUUUUUUUUCCCAUAGUUUAGAGUCUAUGUUUUUAUACAAUCAUAAAGUGUAGGAUUCUUUUGUAUAUAUAUUAUUGGAUGCUUAUGUGUAAGAGUUACAAUUAAGACUUAUAGUUUAUGAUCAUGUUCUACAUGUUUAGUGUUUGUGCUAGAGUUUAGUAUUUAUAAAAUUGUUAUAUUUGAAAUUUUGUAAGUGUUUUAAGAAUUUUGAAUAUCUAUUAUUAUUAUUUGAUGUUUAUGUGUAAGAGUUUAAAAUUUAAAUUUUAGAGUUUAUAGUUUAUAGUUUAGGAUUUCUAUUUGGGAUCAAUGGUUUAUUUUUUUUGUAUAGCUGCGGAUAAAUUUAUGGCAAAUCUGUAAUUAUUUCAUUAUAUAUUUUAGUUUUUAAAAAUAAUUCAGAUAGUUACCAAAAGUUCGUAGCUUCUUUUAUAGGUUCCACCGAAUGCUCCUAUCUCUCGGCAAAGAUCGCUAAUUAGCCACGAUUUAGCUAUGAAUUAUAUUUGUGGCUAAUUUAGCCACAACUUAGCCAUAGAUAUUAUUUGUGACUAAAUUAGCUACAAAAAAACCACAAAAUUGCUACAGAAUCAAAAAUAUUAAAUUCAUAGCUAAUUCAUGGUUUUUUCGUGGCUUAUUGAAAAUAGCCACGAAAUGUUUGUAGCUAUUCUGUAGUUAUACACAUAAUUUUUAGUAGUGGACUCCUUUUUCCAGGUACUUGUGCGGGUAACACUUUUUAUAUUUCGAUCUUUCCAGAUCACUGAGCUUGGACCUAGGACAUAGAGAAUGUAAUCUCUCCUCCUUCUGACCACUCAGUUCUUGACUUUUUUUUAUCUCUGACAGUAUGGUCUGCGCUGUUAGAUACGAGGAACCCAUGAACAUGUGGUCUUUCGAGGCCCAAUGCUAUAUGUUUAGGUCGUAUUGGGCCGUAAGUCCAAUAUGAAUCUUAAAUUGGCCCAGGGAGACCAUACCUGCAAAAAAAUAUCGACGCCAUAUGCAAACACACGAUUCACCCACAUAGGAAAAAUCUAAUUUAUCCCUAACACUUAUUAACCCAGUAAACAUUUUCUAUGUCCCAUUAAAAUUUAUAAUAACUAAAAUCCUAUAUCUUAAAAGUUAUUUUUUUUAAAACAACUAAAUAAUAUUAAAAUUUUCUUGUAAAUAAAAAUAAAUUAUUCGCCGACCAGAAUAAAAAAAAAAUCCAAAUGUUUUGAUUUUUAAGUGUUCGUCAAUGUGAGUUUAGUUUUUUAUCUUAUUUUCCAAUCCCUCACUUUAUGUUUUUUUUGUUGUUUGUGGUGUUUAUAAUUUUGGUUAGUCCGUUUUAUGAUUGCUAUUGGAGAUUUGAAGUGUAUUCAAAGAAAUGAAAAAUAGUAAAACAUACAUCUCUUUUCACUUUUAUGAGCUUCAAAUCCUUAUUUUAAUGUCAUCACUCCAUCUUAUCUUUUUAGUUAAAUAACGGUCUGUUCCCAGCACUUUAUGCCUUAUAAAGUCAUUCUAUCAUCUAUAUACAGAAACUGACAAAACCUUUCACAAAUGUUUGACUAAUAUAUAUAUAUAUAUAUAUAUAUUGUUUGGAAAAAACACAAGCUUUCUUAAGUGGACGAAUGACGUGUUGUCAUAUGUAGUUCAUGUCUUUUUGGUAGGUAAUUCCAAAUAUCCCAGGCUUUAGCACCAAACCGUAGAUCAUAUGGACCAAGAGAUCAAGCAAAAAGCCACUUAUUUUCUGAUUCCUCGUAUGUAACAAUGUAAGCCGCAUUGUUGGAGACAAGAAAGAAGGAAACUGAGUGGUUAUGAGAAGAGAGCGGUUAUGUUUUCUCCAUCUAGGCUAAAGAUCAGUAAUCUAGAAAGGUUGAGAUAGGAGAAAGAUAGCCAACACAUGUAUCUAGGGUGAGGAGCAAGGCAAGUAAUACUAUCCUGAUAGCCCGAUCUCUGGGAUUAGGGGACUCAGCUUAGGUAAGGAGUUCAAUUAUGCUGAAAUAGUUAUUUUGAUACUUGAAUUUUCUCUCCACCUUACAAUUGGAAUGUAGACAUAUGUCUGAUUCGACCCCAUGUCUCUGAAAACCCAUGGAUCAUGCAUAUAUGCCUUUUGCCUACAUGUGACAAGUGAAAGUGACAGCACAUGGAACAUCGAAAAAACGAUAGUAUGGAAGGAGGCCAUACCACAUAUGAACCGCUGCACUAGGCUUGUACACUGAAAGAGUAGAAACCCACUGAUGCUCUAUCUCAUAACAAGCAGAUGUGGCCAAGAAAAGUAGGUAAAGAAUUCAGGUGGUUAUCAAGUACAUAACAAAAUCAACAAACCCAAACCCGAAUAUGUUAACCCGAUAACCCAUGAUCCAAUCCGGUAUAUUAGUCCGGAUCAGGCAAAACCUUCUCUCAAACGGAAAAAAUGGUUUUAGACUCUCAUAUUAUUAUAUAUAUAACAGUGCGAUUAAGGAUCUUAGAAUAGACAUCUUUUAAACACUUGACUCCCUUUUUUCUGAGACCAAGUCUCACUUCCAACCAGUCUCCGGUCAGCUUCACGACGGUUUCUAAACGAUAAAGUUCUUCCCCCAAAAUCUUACUUUCUUCUCUUUCACCUAAAAAACCAACCUCUAACGGCCUGUUGUGGAUCUCUUCUUCAUUAAAGACCCCAUUGGCCCAUAUCUUUCACUAAUUUUCUGAUCACUCUUUCUUACCUCCGAUUUACCAUUCUAUGUUUCUUCUUAAACGUUUUCUGUCUUGGACGUCGGAGAACCAUUAGAAAACAACCCUCCGAUCCACCAUGUUUAAUUAAAGGUAAAUUAGUACACUUUUUUUUGGUUAACACUUUAUUAAUUCAAUAAAUGGGAUCUCAACCAUUACAAAGAGAGGCCCGAGGCGAUGUGUUACACAAUGCAAGCUUUUCGAGAGCAUCCGCUCUAGAGUUUUCAGAUCUAGGGAUAAAGCAAAACGAAAUUGAAGAAACAUAGAUGCAAGAGCUUGAAUGUCGAAGAGAAGACCGUAGACCUCCUUGAUUUGCUCUUGCGCCGAUAUAGAUCUGCUAAAAAUCUGAGCGUCUGAUUUGAUGGUGAGGGAGGUGAAUCCCAGAUCAAGCCCCUGGAGGAGAGCUGAUCGGAUGGCAAUUGCUUCUGCCAUGAGAGGAGAGCCAAUGAAAUUGUCAGAUCCCAAAUCCUUCGAAAUCUCGAUCCCGUGCUGUUAAAGAAGAUCCAUCCAUAUCCUGCUGAAUUUGUAUCACUCAUCCAAGCUCCAUCGAUGUAGCAGGUAAUAGAAUGGUUUUGAUGUGGCGGAAGAGAUGGUGCUGGAUCUUUUUGUAGGGUAGGAGUAUUAGUCUGUUGAGCUUGUUGCCAUUCUAGUGUGUCGCUGAUUGCUUUUGACAUAGUUUCAGCUGGGGAGAAGUAUUAGUAGGGUAGAAAUAUGGGGUAAUGGCUAGGAAGCCACUUUCUGUUUAAAUUUAUUCAGCCGUGCCACUGCUUAAUCUAUAUGCCACUCAAUUGAGGAAAAUACUAUUGUAACCUUAAUGAGAGGGAUCCACGUUUUUGAGGAAAUAAAUUUUGUUAAAAAUCGGAUUUCUUUAAUCUCCAUUAUUAUGCCCAAUUGUCGGAAAACGGGAAAACCGGAAAUUUCAAAAGCGCCCCGAAAAUUUCUCGCCGGAAAAAGAAAAUUUGGAUCCUCUUCGUCUCCUCGUUUCCGGGCGUCGUUCUUCUCCGCCGGUCAGACGCUGCAUUUGGAAUCGCGAAACUGUCCGGCCUUGCAGCUCGUCAGCCCCGGCGGCACACUACAAGAAAACACAGUUUUUGCGACUACCGUUUGCGACCACAAUGUGUCGCAAAUAUUUGCGACUACUUUGUAACUACUUUGCGACGACAACGCGACUACCAAAAACGUAAACACAUAUUAUUCGGUAAUUAACGACGAAACUUGGGCGUCGUUAAGUAGUCGAUAAUUAGCAACUAUUUAACGACGAAUAGUUCAGUUUUUAGGGAUAGUCGCAAAUCAGUCUCAAUUUUCGACUAUAUGGCGACUGUAUUUUUAGUCGGGAAAUGUAGUUGUAAUGUAGUCGCAAAUCAGCGACCAUUUUGCCACGUUUUUCUGUCAUCACUGUUGUGUCGCAAAGUAGUCUGUCAAUAAAGUUAAAAAUUUGAAGUGGUAAAAGUCUCACAUCGAAAAAAGAGAAUGAAUGUCAAGUUCAACAUGUUUUAGAAAUAGCAAACAGUUGAUGACGGUCUAAUAGGUCAGACUGAGGAAAUCGAAGUUGAUAGUUUGGUAGAGGGUAUUCAACCUUGCGAAGAAAUUGAUUACGAAAUCGAAGACGCUGAAGCAGAAGAUGAAUCUCUUUGUAACUUAUCAACUUCAGAUGAUGAUGAUGAAGAAUUUGAUUAAUACUCUAAUUAAUAUAAUUUAUUUAUCUUUAUAACAUAAUAAGUAUGCAUAUCCAAAAAAAAAGAUGUAAAAAUUUAGUGUAGCUUAUAUAUUCAUUUCCUAAACUACAAUUCAUGAAUUUAAAAUGCAGCUUACUGGAUAUGAGUCUUGUAUAGAAAUUAGAGGUUGAGAGUUUGACUCUCAGCUUGAACAAUUUUUUAAAAGUUUUGGGAAGGAGUCACAAAAACGUCGUAAAUAACUGACUAUCUUGCGACUACCUCUGUUAUACAUUUACUAACAAACAUUUUCUAAGUGUAGUUAUAUAUUAGUCGCUAAGAGUGUCGAUUGUGCAACUAUUUAGCGACGAACACCUGAAUCUGAGACUGAUUUGUUACUAUUUAGCGACUAUCUAAACCCUUAAAAAGAGAAACCUCAAAACCAAAUUGUAAAUAUGAUAUGUUUAACAUUUUAAAGUUUAUUUGAGCAAAUCUAUACCUUAAAUAUUCAGAAAAGAGAAAAAAUAAAUAAAUAUCACAUAUUUUAAUCAUAUGUUUGCAAACCCUAAAUAUUUCUUAUAAGUGUUACAUGUAUUAUACAUAAGAUCAUUUUCAAAAAGCUGAACUUUCAUAAUUUAGUUAGACAAUGCUAUUUUAUUCAUUUAAAGGGGCAUUAUCCUUUUGAAGUAUAGUAAAAAAGAGUUAAACAACAUAUUCAAACCUUCAGAACCCUAAAAUUAUAGGGUUUAGGGUAUAGAGUUGCGACUAAAAAAUUGUCGUCACAAAAGAAUCACAGUUUGUAACUCAUUUGCCACUAUAAAUUCUAUUAGCGACUACUUUACGACUUUAAUGUGCGACUAAUUUGUGACUAUUUCAAAAAGUACAAAAAUUUUAUGAAAUAUCAAGCGGCAAAAUAAUCCCUCCAUUCUUCAUAUGCAACCACAAUUGCGACUAAUCUAUGACCCCCACAAUUUUAUUAUACAUGAAAACCCUUUCUCUCUCCCACUUUCGAGUCAUCUCAAUCAUUUCUAAACACUUAGCCAAUUUUGUUCUUUCUUCGACAAACCCUAACUCUAUCAAAUUGUUUCUAAAUCUCUUCGAAUCUAUACCUAAUACUCCCAAACAGAUCAUCUUUCUUCUUCUCCUCCAAAAUAUCUUUCCAAUUUUCUUCUUCUCCUCCUAAAUCUCUCGAUUUCCUAAGAAUGCCACCAAAAAGUUCAACUAAGGGUCGUGGCGGCAAAUCCGGCGAAGGGAGCCGAUUAACCGGAGGUGGGACACAAAGCGAUGGUGGAGGAUCGUCCUUGCACUCCUCAACUCAGUCCUCGAACGGCACACUGUCGACAUCGCCAUCGCCAUCUCUCGUUCACAGCUUCCAACCCAGUAUCCAGCAGCGACACAACCACUGCCUGCUCUUCUCUAUGCACAACAUCCGCCUGCUCCUCUCUAUGCUCAACAUCCGCCGGCUACUCUAAACCCUGAACAGCACCAGCUAGCAACCGCCGCCUCAUCCUCAUCAAAUUCUGGCACCGCCGCCUCUUCAAUAUCCGCUGCCGCCUCUCCACUAUCCGCCGGCUCAUCUUGAGGAAGUUCUGAUUCUUCACCAGCAGCAAAAUCCCAACCAACAACAAGUGGCUGAGCAGAAUUCAGAGUCAGAACCAGAUUACCAGAACAUUUGCGGUAAUGUUCGAUAAAGAUUGUAUUGUUUUCUGUUUACAUAGUUCUAAUUUGUUUUCUUGUUAUACUUACAAAGAUUGUAUUGUAUACGUAGGGGAAGUACAAUUGGGUUAGAGAAAUUACCGAGACUGUGAGAGAAAUAUUCUUGAAGAGAGACAUAAGAAGGAUGAAAGAAAUACUUGGUUAAGUUAGGAAGAAAAAGAUCAGAUAUUUCUUAAGGUAAUUUCAUUUUUUCUUCCUCUUCAUAUCAUUUGAUUGGAUUUGUUUUGCUGAGAAUGAUUAGUUGAUGUCGAUUUGCUGGUUUUGAGCUUAUAAGUGUGGUUCUAUGAUUUUUCUGUGUUCAUUCAUGUCUUUUAUUAGCUCAGUUUUUUUUGCAUGUUUAGCUUGGUUUGAUGCUUAUCACGCUUGUAGAAGGCAUUUUUGGUUCUGUGUUCUUAGUUUAAUUCAGAGAUUUAGGAAACAUUAAGGUUAAACCAAUGUUUGAUGUUUAGCAAAUGAAAAAUGUUUGAUGGUUACCAAAUGUCACACGUGUUCAUCGUUUUUGAUGUUUGAUUUAUAGCAAAUAUCUGCAUCGCAAGUUCUGAGUUUACAUUUUUAUAGCUUGCUACUCUAAUUUCUAAAGUUUGCUUUUCUAGUUGGCUUCUCUUAUCUGCAUCGCAGGUUCUAAUCUUUUUGUUCCUUUCUGCCUUUUGUUUUGCUGAACUAUUGUUGUUAUAGUCUACUGAAAAGGAUGAUAGAGUAUGGGCUUGGACAACUUUGAGACAUGGUCAACAAAGGCAAAAGGAAAGAGAGCUAUGCAAACUCUUCUUUCCACUACAAGAAAACAAUCGUUUUUCAACGGACCAUUACGACGGUUUUCAAAUCGUCGCAAGCUUACAACGAUUUUACGACGAUCUUACGUCUAAUUUUAAAAUCGUCGUAACACCGUCGUAUAAAAAAAUCGUCGUAAACUCGACGUACAAUUUACGACGAAUUACGACGAUUAUACAUCGAUAACGAGAGAUUUGCUAGUAAAUGUAAAAUCGUCGUAUAUUCGAUGUAAAAUUACGACGAAUAUACGACGACUGCAUUUCGAUGUACAUAUUACGACGAUUUUACGUCGAAAAAGAAGUUAGGUGGAAAACAUUUAAAACAUGUUUACCUAACAAUUGUAGGGGAAAGAUUUUAUCGCAUAAUCGUCGUAAACUCGUCGUAAUAUUAUUUUUGAAUGUAAAUUCGUCGUAAAAUGUCGUCAUAAAAGCGUUGUAAAGCCCGAAAUUUUCCUAUAAAUAGAUCUUCAUUCCUUCUUUCAAUCACAACACAUCAUCAUUCAAACAUAAGAGCAUCUUCAUCUUGGAGACCCAUAGGUCUCUUAAAUUUUAGUAUAGUGUUGUAAAUCCUUAUAUAUUGGGUUGUCCAUUGCUGGAAACUCGAAUUAGGAAUUAUAUUACUUUGAAAAAAGAAGUAAUAAUAUUAUAAAGUUAAUUUACUCCAUUCACGUGGUUAGAUGUGACACAAUUGUCUAAUCAAUAAAAAGAGAUAGUAUUUUGAGUUUAUUUUCAAGAUGUCUAUAUACGAGCUAAGAAGUUGGAUGUAUAUGCGUAAAGAUUCAGAUGGGGCGUUGACAGAAGAGUUCAAGAACGGGUUAGAAAUAUUUAUGUUUCAGGCUACAAAUAUGGAGAGAACGAAAGAUAGUGGGAAGAUGUUUUGUCCUUGUUUGAAAUGCAAGAAUACGAGGUAUACACUAACCAAAACCGUGUGGACGCAUUUAUUAAAUAGAGGGUUUAUGCCGCAAUAUUUUGUUUGGUAUCUGCAUGGAGAAGGAUAUGGCAGUAAUACUCAUGGAAAUGCUGGUAGUAGUAGCAAUUAUCAAAGUCAUGUUGAUAUUGAUGAAUCGAAUUAUGGUCAUCAGCCUAAUCAGUAUCAAUAUGAUCAAAGUGUAGAUCAUGAUAGGAUGCACGAAAUGGUGACUGAUGCAUUUCAUGAAACGCAUACUGGUAAUGCUGUUGAGGAACCUAAUGUAGAUGCCAAACGAUUUUAUGAUUUGUUAGACAAUGCUAAUCAGCCAAUCUAUGAAGGAUGUAGAGAAGGCUUGUCUAAAUUAUCGUUGGCAGCUAGGAUGAUGUCAAUUAAAACAGAUCAUAACCUGGCUGAGGUUUGCAUGGAUGAUUGGGCUGAUCUUCUGAAGGAGUAUCUACCGGAGGAUAACUUGGCAGCGGGAACAUACUAUGAAAUUCAGAAGUUGAUUUUUAGUCUUGGUCUACCUUCUGAGAUGAUAGAUGUAUGUGUUGACAACUGUAUGAUUUUUUGGAAAGAUGAUAAUCAGCUGGAGGAAUGUCGAUUUUGCAAAAAACCAAGAUAUAGGCCGCAAACUGGUGGGCGUAAAAUGAUACCGUACCAACGUAUGUGGUAUCUCCCUAUAACUGAUAGGUUAAAACGGCUUUAUCAAUCUGAAAGGACAGCUGCAUCAAUGAGAUGGCAUGCAGAACAUACACAAGUAGAUGGAGAAGUUGUUCAUCCAUCAGAUGCAAAGGCAUGGAAACACUUCAAUAUGGUAUACCCAGAUUUUGCUAAGUUCAAACGGAAUGUCUAUCUUGGUCUGUGCACUGAUGGUUUUAGUCCAUUUGGUAUGUCUGGUAGACAAUAUUCAUUAUGGCCAGUAAUCCUAACUCCUUAUAACCUUCCUCCAGAUUUGUGCAUGCAAAGAGAAUUUCUUUUCUUAAGUAUUUUGGUUCCAGGUCCAAAUCAUCCGAAGCGAGCUCUCGAUGUAUUUCUGCAGCCACUCAUACAUGAGUUGAAUCAGUUAUGGUAUACUGGCGUUCGUACAUAUGACUGUUCUACGAGGAAAAAUUUUACUAUGCGGGCUGUGCUUAUGUGGACAAUAAGCGAUUUCUCCGCUUAUGGUAUGCUAUCAGGAUGGACUACACAUGGGAGGCUAUCUUGUCCUUAUUGUCUUCAUCGAACUGAUGCGUUUCAGCUAUAACAUGGUAGAAAAACUUGUUGGUUUGAUUGUCACCGGAGGUUUUUACCGGAUAACCAUCCAUAUCGGAGGAACAAGAGGUUAUUUAUGAAGAACAAAAGUGUACAUGUCCCUCCACCCGUUAAUUUAACAGGAGCUGAUAUACAGGCGUAAAUCGAUCAUUGGAGGGCAGAUGAAACAGUAACGCGUGGGGGAAACUGGCACACUCCUGCAAAUAUGCCUGAAAGUUAUGGAGUUCAUCAUAAUUGGCACAAGAAAAUUAUCUUUUGGCAACUACCUUAUUGGAAAGAUCAUCUGCUCAGACACAAUCUUGAUGUCAUGCACAUUGAAAAAAACUUGUUUGAUAACAUCAUGCAUACAGUUAUGAACGUAGCGGGAAGAACAAAAGACAAUGGUAAGUCAAGAUUGGACUUGCCUGAUUUAUGCAACAGAAGUGAGUUGCAUCUACUGAGAAAUGGGAAAGCACCAGUUCCUGUAUUUCGGUUGAGUGCAGAUCAAAAGUCAGCAUUGUUCAGAUGGGUUUCUUCUGACGUUAAAUUUCCUGAUGGGUAUGUCUCUAAUCUUUCCAAAUCUGUUGAGAAAGGGGUAAAGUUUGCUGGGAUGAAAAGCCAUGACUGCCAUGUAUUUAUGCAACGAUUAUUUCCAUUUGCAUUUGCUGAAUUCUUGCCCAAAAAUGUCCAUGAAGCUAUUGGAGGCAUUGGUGCUUUUUUUCGGGAUCUUAGUACACGAACAUUAUCAAUUGAUGUAAUAUCACAUCUGGCAUUGAAUAUUCCAAUCUUAUUGUGCAAUUUGGAAAAGAUCUUCCCACCAUCAUUUUUUGAUGUUAUGGAACAUCUUCCUGUUCAUCUCCCACACGAAGCAGAGCUCGGUGGACCCGUUCAGUACAGGUGGAUGUAUCCGUUCGAGCGUUUCAUGAAGCAUCUUAAAGGUAAAGCCAAAAACCUAGCUAAAGUGGAAGGCUCAAUUGUGGCGGGAAGCUUGACGCAAGAGACUUCACACUUCACUUCAUACUAUUUUGCACCGAAAGUACGAACACACAAAAGAGCUACUCGUCGCUAUGAUGAUGGAGGAGUUGGCCAUACAUAUGCCGUUGAAGGUGUACCUGACAUAUUCUCGCCGAUCGGACGUCUUAGUGGAAAACUAAAAGAAGUUUGGUGGUCCAAUGAAAAAGAUUAUCACAGUGCACAUACGUAUAUCCUGUUAAAUUGUGAAGAGUUGUCAUCGUAUGAAAGGUACGGGUCCUGAAUUAAUAAUAUCUUUAUAUGAGUUGUCAGUAUUAAUAACUAUAUAUUUGUUGUUUUUCUCAGCACAUUUGUUGAUGAGGUUAAAGAAUGCAUAUCUGGGGUUUCUGAAACUGAAAUCAAUGAUCGUAAAGAUCAACACUAUGCCCAGUGGUUAAAAGGGUAAGUACGUAUAAAAUUUUAAUUAAAAGACUAUUUUAAUUUGCUAUAUAUCCAAAUCAAGAAAUUAAAGCGGAAUUUUUUUCUUAUUAGGUGGACCCUAAUGAUCCGGAUGAAUUUCCAACAUGGUUUCAUAAGUUACUACUAGGUCCGAUGGCAAAAAUAACUACAGCCUCUAUGUAUUUCACUCGGGGCUAUGUUUUUCACUCAUACCGUCACGGUGCAAAGCGGGCGACAACUAACUAUGGAGUUUGUGUGAGGGGUGAAAUAGAUUUUUAUGGAGUUCUGCAAGAAAUAAUUGAAGUAGAGUAUCCUGGAUUGUUAAGGCUGAAAACUGUUCUCUUCAAAUGUGAUUGGUUUGAUCCAACUGUUGGAAGAGGGGUACGUCUAAACAAGUUUGGAGUUGUUGACGUGAACAAAUCACAACGGUACAACAGGUUUGAGCCAUUUAUAUUAACUUCUCAAGCAGAACAGGUAACGUUUCUGCCAUACCCUCGAGUUCGAUCAACAGGAAUUUCAUGGUUAACUGUAGUUAAAGUGGCUCCGAGGGGCAAGAUUGUAGGGGUUGAGGAUGUUCCACUUCAACAGGACACUUGCGUAGAUCUGUCUAAACCAGAUGUUGAUGAGGAGAUUUUCUUAAUAGACCCUCGGAACAGGCAAGUUGAAGAUCUUCCCGAUGAUACAGAAGAAGAAGGUGAUGAUGAGUUUGCUGAAACCGAUGAUGACGAUUUGACGGAAGACGACGGUGAUGGUGAUGAAGUAAUAGAGGAAGAUGAAUCUGAUUGAGUUUCAUGCAUUGUAUUUAGUGAAUGUUUGUUAUUAUGUAAUUUGUAAAUUUUUUUGUUUGAAUUUAAUUUUUUAAAAACCCUAAAAUUUGAUUUUACGACGGUUUUACGACGGUUGUUCUAAACCCUAAACCCUAAGUCUAGGUUUUAAGCCCUGAAUGAAUAGGGUUUCAACAUUACGAUGUCUUUACGACGAACCAUCGUAAUAUCGUCGUAAGAUUACGAUGGUUUUACGACGAGUACACUAUUUCGUCGUAAAAUCUAUAUAAGGGACGCAAGUUUUCCCCAUUUCGUCGCUCAUUCCUCUCUUCUCCCUUCUCUCUCUAAUAAACUCUCUCUCUCUACCUCCCUAAUCUCCUAACCUCUCCCUAGCCAAAUACUUGUAAGUUUUUUGUUUUAAUAUAAUUUCAUUAUAUAUUCUUUUAGAUUUAGGUUCGAAAUUUAGAUUUAGGUUCGGAAAUUAGAUUUAGGUUUCAGAAUUUAGAUAGGCUCGGAUUUUGUAAAUUUAAAUAAAUAUUUGCAAAAUUAGUAACAAAUUUUUUUAAAUUUUGUAGAUUCCGUUGAUAUGGCUCCUUGGGCUAAGAGAUUUCACUACCGACAGCUGGUCGAUUCUGACGGUACGGCCCCGUCUACCUCAGCGUCCGGAUCAGUCAUCCAGGAGUCCUCGGAACACAACGGACGGUUUCCCAACCGGUCGUUGUACCGCAGCCGGCACCGCCUCCACCACCACCAGCCGAACCAGCGGCUCCCGCACCGGCUGAUCCUGAAGCUGAUCCGAUCCCGCCUGUACCGUAUGCCCAGUUUACGGUACAUGAUCUUCUGGCACAGCCGGGUCGUGAGACUAUGAACAAACUCGACCCGGAUCGAGCCCCGGGAACAUUUUGGUACGAAAAUUUUUUCCUACAAUAUUUUUAAAUUAAUUAAUAUUUAUUCUUAUAUAUUUGAAAUUAAUUUACUUUUCUCUUUCUAUUUGACUAGGUUUACGACCGACAAUGCAGUCGGUCGAAUCGUUGCGGAUAUCAUCAAAGGGUUUUUCGUACAACCCCAUACCAGCUGGAAGAAGCUGGAUCAUGCCACACUUAACACUUGGUUCAAGUGUUUUGCAGUAAGUAAUUUACAAUUUCGUUUAAUUUUAAUUUUUAAUUUUAUCUUUUUACAAUAGUUACUAACUUUUUUUCUAGCAAAACUGGCAUUGGGAAACAUCCGCACACGAACGUGUGGAAACGGAAGUGGGAGGUUGACGGCGACAAGGCCAAGCCGGCGCCUAUGGCCAAGUCCGUCUGGCGGGGCCUUGUCCAGUACUGGUUGGAUCCGCACAACCAGACUACGGCCGCCAAGUGUUCCGGAUCUAGGUAAGUUAAUUCCAUUAAUAAUUACAUUAUUUGUUUUCAUUAAUUCCUAUAAUAUAUUUUAAUGAAAAUAUUUUUCAGGAACGCUACUGAUGAUGCGGGAAAUCGGAAGAACGUUUCGCACACUUCCGACCAGAUUCCUUUUGCCGGAAGACGGCUUAUGAUGGUAAGUAAAUUAAAGUUACUGAUUUUUUUGUUUUUAAAUAAUUAACCAUUAGUUGUCUUAUAAAUUUUUUCAUUUUGAUUUUGUAGGUCGAAGAAAACGGAGGAGAACUUCCUCCGAUGACAAAGGUUUUCGCCGAGACGCAUAAGAAGCGGAACGGCGAAUUCACGGAUCCUCGGGCGGAGGAGAUCUACAACGCCGCCUGUGCCCGGAUCGAGGAGCAGCAGACGCAGCUGACUCAGCAGGUGCGUCCAACGUCUCCCGGAGGUAGCUUGGUCCAAUCGACCCCGGCGCUGACGGUGGCGGAGAUGGACCAGAUUUUCGAAGAGGUAAAUUUAAUUACUAUAUUUAAUUAAUGUAACUUUAGUUUUAAAUUGAAUUUCUAACCAUAAUGUUUUUAAAUAUUUUUAGGUUGCCCCAAAGAAAAAUGGGCGGGUAUUAGGGAUGGGGUCCAUUUGUGAUACCCCGAGAGCUACGGCGACUGGUCACGUCCGGGUCCCGGAUCCGGUUAUCCGCCAGGAGAUCGAUCAGAUGCGGACCCGUUACGAGACGAGGAUCGACCAGCUCUAUGGUCUCUUCGAGAUCAUGGGAGCCGACAACCCGGUCCUCAUGGCGCAGUUGGACAAGCUGCGGGCUGAUGGGGUUGUCGGAUCGUCUGCCGCCGGGUCAUCUACUAGGACGCAACCGCCGGUGCAGACGGACGAGGAGAUGUUCCGAUCUCUUGGGGUUGAGCCUCCUAGAGCUGGAGAUCAGGCGCCGGCGGAAGCAUCUAACCGAAGACCCGGCAAGGAACACGUCGAGGACGAUGGGGAGCAGGCCGGUGACGGGAUCGACGAUAUAGAUAUAGAUUUAGAUUUAGAGUUGUAGGGUUUUUUUGUAAAUAUUACAAUUAAUUUUAAUUUGAAAUUUUAAUAAAUUUUAAAUUGUAAUUUUUUUUAAUUUAAAUUUUAAUUCGAAUUAAUUUUUUUUAAUUUUCAAUUAUAUUAAACGUCGUAUAAUCGUCGUAAUAUAUUUUAUAAAACCGUCGUACAUUCGUCGUAAAUAUUACGACGAAUUUACGACCAAAAUGUACGACGACAAAUACGACGAUUAUACAUCCGUGAUUUACGACGAUUUUACGACGAAAUGAUUAAAUACUUUACGAUUGAUUUACGACGAUUAUUGCGUCGUACAUUUUACGACGAUCUUACGUCGAUCAUUAACGACCACUUAACGACGGUCCAGGCGAAGACCAAGUUGACGCAAUUCGAUGUAAAAUCGUCGUAAACUGUACGACGCAUUUACGACGAUCUUGUUUCCCUCGAUGUUACGAUGAAACGAAACCGUCGUAUAUUAUACCACGAUUUUACGACGAUUUGUCUAUUACGACGAUGACUUUAAGACGAUUUCGUAAUCGUCGGUAGUUCGUCGUAAUAGCCCUAUUACGACGAAAUAACGACCAUUUUGCCCGUUGUAAAAUGAUGUUUUUCUUGUAGUGUUCACAUCGAUUUCAGAGAUUUGUCAACAACUUCAAGCUGCUCAUCGGAAGAUUGGAGAACAAGAAGCUGAAAAUACAAGAUGGGAUGAGGAGAACCGAGUUCAUCAAAGUAUGAUCGCAAGCUUGGAGUUGCUUGUUUCCUACUUCAAGAAGAAUGAUGCCGGUUUUGCAGAAUUUGUGGCAAGUCAAUCAUCACCAGCCGCUGCCGAACUCACCACACUGGCCACCAAAGCAGGAAGAGCUCCACACACUGCACCAGCACCUGCACCAGCAACUGCACUACCAGCAAUUGCACCAGGCAUCGAACCAACCUUUUCUCCCUUGUUUAACACUUCCUCAAUCUCUCCUUCAUCUUAAAAACUUACCUUAUUUGAUAUUUUGGGUUUGGUUUGUGUAAAAGGUACAUAUAUUUAUGUUUGGGAUGAUUUUGUAACAUGUUUUUCUAUUUUGAAUCACAUUUCAGCUUUUCAAUCUUUCAAAUUUCGUAUUUUUAUGAAUUUCAGGUUUUUAAUUGAAAAAUAAAAAGUAUAUAUUAACAAUGAACGGAUAGUGACAUAGAAGUGCUAAUUAGGACUGAUUUGCGACAAUACAAAAUUGUGGUAAAGAAUAAGGGUGUGGCAAUAUAGUUGUUAAUAUACGACUAAAUAGCUGGGUCUUAAAUUAGUCGCUAAAACACAUGUCACAAACUAGUCAUUAUUAUACAACUACAACAAGAGGUCUUAAAGUAGUCGCUAAAUAACUUUGUCACAAUGUAGUCGCCAUUAUACGACUAUAAUCUCUGGUCUUAUAAUAGUCGCAUAUAUACAACCGCAAUUAUGUCAUCACAAAAUAGUCGCCAAUUUGCGACCACUUUGAAACCCCAUAAUUUUGCGACGAAAGAUUUGCGACCACGUUUUAAAGUCAUAGAGCAGUCGCAAAUCUAUCAUUUGCGACUAAUAUGGGACGAUAUACGUAGUCGCAACAACCAUGUUUUCUUGUAGUGGCAGUGCUCCCCUCUCUCUUCCCCAAUUAGCUCCUCUUCUUUCUCCGAUUAGGUAUGCCACUCGUUUUCAUUAGCAACAUUGCAUAUUGUGGUAUGAACAUUGGGUCAGUUAGGUAGAUUGAUUGAUUCGGGGUCCCCUUGAGGUAGAUUAGAAGUCGCCAUGAGUAAUGGGGAGAACCAACCGGAGCUCAAUGCAGAUUUAGGACAACUAGUACUUUUAAGUACAACUAAGAAGUAGAGAACAACUGGUACACAAUGGUACAAAUGUUAGGUAGGUAGAGAACAACUGAUACACUAUGGUACAACUGUUACAAAAUGGGUAAUAAUGAAAACCGUAUUUUGGUUUCCUAAAUACAGGACGGGCGGGGCAGAAUGAGUCCGUCCGUGAACAUACACUUUGAUUAUGGAGGGAUGUAUUCACAAGUCGGAGAGGUGUUUAAAUGGAUUGGAAGAAGUUCCACCUUUGCAAUAUCUUUGAAAUACUAUUUUUUGGAGGAGAUAACUUACUCGGUUUUAGUAGAGAAGAUAUGCAGGAAGAUGGCGAUAGAUGAAAGAACAGCACAAUUGAAAUUGAGCUACAUUCCAUUGGUAUUUAACCCUCAGAGCCAGUCGAAUAUUAAUGAUGAUGAGGAUGUUUAUGUGUAUUUAACAACAGUGGAUGAAAAGGGAUUCAGAUCAGUUUUGCACGUGGAAGUAAUGAAAGAUGUGGAAGUAACUCAAUUAGAGCCGCAACUGUCUAGAGUUGAUCAAGGUAGCUCAGUUGGUUUGAACAAUGGGGAGCUUGGUUCAAAUGUCAUUGCUGAAGCGGGAAUCCUAACUAUGUAUAGAGCAGAGGGAGCAGCAAAGCGCCACUCUGAGCCAAUUAUUGAAGAGCCGACGGAGGAUGAUGGUGAUGAAGCUAUGAAUGAUAACGCUAGUGGCGAAAUUUUGGCAUUGAAUGAUAAUGUAUCAGGAUGUGAUGGUAUGGAGAAGCCUCACGGAGGUGAUGGUUUGGAGGAGCCUCACUAUGUUGAGCCACCAUGUGCUGCUGAAGAAAGUCAGCUAGUUGCUGAAUGGGAAGAUGGUGCCGGUCUUGUAGUUGGGCAAGAGUUUAGUUCUAAGGCGAUGGUGCAACAUUUGAUUGAGAGAGCUGCACAUAAAUACUGUUUUUCGUUCAAUACUAUCAAAUCAGAUAAAAACAGACUUAUGCUGGAAUGCCGUCAGAAGAAGCAAGGUUUUAAGUGGUAUAUAUCUUCGAGCUGUGAGCGUUAAGGAUUCAAGCCGUUUUAGUGUUAGGGUGUAUAGGAAGAUGCACAGAUGUUCAUGUGCUGCUCAGUCUACAAGCAGCGAUAAAUUAAAAGGUACACCAGAAAUGGUAGCAUCGGUUCUGCAUGAUGUCUAUCCAGGUCGGCUCGACACCCCAGUUGCUAAAAGUAUCAUCAAUGUUGUGCAAGGGCAUAUUGGUCUAAAUGUGUCCUAUUCUACUGCCCUGAGAGACAAGAAACUCGCAUUUAAUUAUGUGCGUGGCAGUCCAGAAUAAAGCUAUAGUAUGUUGUAUCCUUAUUUGCACAUGUUGGAGACGGUAAAUCUCGGAAUGGUUACAAGUGUGGAAUUGACUGCAGAUAAGAAGUUCAAAUACUUAUUCAUUGCUUUGGGCGCUAGCGUUGAAGGUUUUAGAGCAAUGAGGAAAGUGUUAGUGGUGGACGCAACUUUUCUCUCGGGUUCCUAUGGUGGUAUGCUAGUAUUUGCCACAGCUCAAGACCCUAAUCAGCACAAUUACCCCGUUGCGUUUGGUGUGAUUGAUGGCGAAAAUAAUUGUAGCUGGGGGUGGUUUUUCGAGAAGUUAAAAACCGUGGUUCCAGAUGAUCCUGAAUUAGUGUUUAUGAGUGAUAGACAUUCAAGCAUCAUCAAGGCUGUGUCGGAGGUGUAUCCAAGCGCUAAUCAUGGAUAUUGUGUUUGGCAUAUUUCGCAGAAUGUGAGAGAUAGAGUUAGUAAUAUCAAUAAAGACUUCGUUGCUGCGAAAUUCAGGGAUUGCGCGCAUAUUUAUACUCAAUCUGAGUUCAUUAGAGAGUAUGGUGAUUUAGGUUUCCCAAAGCCGCUGAGUACCUUGAUAAGAGUGUAAGGCUGGAAAAAUGGGCUAGGUGCUGCUUUGCAGGAGAGAAGUACAACAUAGAGACAAGUAACUCUGGAGAGUCUAUGAAAAGUUGUUUAGUGACUGCCAGGAAGUACGCCUUACUGCCUAUGAUCGAUGCGAUUGUAGCCAAAAUUUUUGAAUGGUUUAAAAAACACAGGAAGGAUUCUUCAGGAAGUUUUUUUACAAUAAGAGAGUGGUGCCUGUGGUGGAGAACAAAAUACACACUCGAUGUGCAAUCGCGUCUCUCUUAGUGGUGACGGAAGUAAACAGCUACGAGCUUGAGUACAGCGUUAAUGGACUGGACGGGAAAACUUACGUUGUGAACUUGAGAGCGAAAAGCUGUUGCUGCAGACGGUUUGAUAUAGACAAGUUCCCGUGUGAACAUGCAAUAGCCGCAGCAACGAAACUGAUGAGCAACGAAGAUAGAUCAGCGAAUAUCGGAGUUUAUGACUUGUGCUCAAAAUAUUACUUGAUUGAGACGUGGCCAUUGGCAUACUAUCGAACCAUUUAUACUGUACCUCAUCAUUCUGAGUGGAUUAUUCCUGACAACAUCAAAGAGUUGGUCGUCUUACCACCAAAUGUCAAGAAAAAAGUGGGUAGAAAUCAAGAAAAGCGGAAACCAGGGCCCGGAGAACGUCGCCGGAGGACAAAGAACAAGGCAGACCCUCACUUGGACUUGGAGGCUUGCUUCCGGUCUUCUCAACCUUCCGAGCCAGAAGGUGCUUGAACUUAGUAUUUGAGUUUUGUAUUAAAAAGUGUUGUUUUUAUUCGGACAACCAGAUCGACUAAGGACAACUAAGGUUAUUUUUGUUUGUAUUUUGAUAUCUUCGGGUUUAGUGUUUGCUUGUGUUUGUGUCACUAUUUAUAUUCCGUGUUGCUUUAUGUUUUGUGUCGCUAUUUAUAUUCCGUGUUGCUUUGUGUUUUGGUUACUAUUUGCAUUUGUAUUCAUAUAUCGAAGGUACAACUGGAUCCUAGUGGUUCAACUAUUAGCAAUUAACCCUAAACCCUUAAUAGAAGAAAUCAUUAAAUUUGAAGCUUUCAAAGACUUGUUAUAUUAUAAACCCAUAUUAAUGUAAAGGGAAACAAAUUGAAAAAAAAAAUUCCUUAUACGUUUAAUAGAAAAAACAAAUUUGAAUCUUCUUUAUCAUCAAACAACAUCAUCUAGUAUAAGGAAGAGUUUGGUAAAUGUAACUAUCUCAUCAUGAUAAAAAACUUCGGAAAUGAAUAUUCCAAAAAAAUAGUAUGUACACCUUGUAAAUGAUCCCUAAUACUCUAACAUACUGGGGACAACUACAAAAUAAUAUUGUAUUUAAUGAUACAACUACAAAAACAAAGAAAUCGUCAAAAGUACACCUAUGUGGAAAUUAGUACUACGAUAUAACGUUGGGACAACUAUAGCAUCGAUUGACGGCGCACGUGUUUCGUAUCCAAUAUUGACGGCGCACGCGUAUCAAAAACAAAAAUUUUCGAAUUUUUUGAAUUUCCCACCAAUUUGUUUUCCAGAAAAAUUAAAUUUCCCCUCCCUACUAUUUGCAAUUUUCUCUAUAUUAGUCCAUAUUUGCCACAUUUUUCCCAUUUUUCUUCGAGUUCAGAAUAGAGAGAAAACCUAAAAUUGGAGACACAUCCAGAAAAAUAUAAGGAAGAGAGAAGGGACCCUGAUUCGCGGAUGGAAGACAAAGGUAAUUCGAUUUACGAUUUUAAUUGUCAAUUUGGAGAUUCAUUGUUCGCAUUUCAGUGUUCGGGAUUUUGCGAAUCGUGAAUUAGGGUUUACGAUUAUAUAUAAUUGUCAAUCUGGGGAUUUUCUUAUGAAUUAUGGUUUAUGAUUGUAAUUGUGAAUUGCAGCGAUGGAGAAGGCACUUGCGAAGCUUUCAAAGAAGGAUCACGGUAUGACAACAAGAUGGGGCCCCGAAGUCUGAGGAGUCCGAACCAUUGUUGAAUGUCCCAAGCAAGUGGGAAUUCUUAAAUUUUGCUACUGCGGUCCUCCUCGUAUUGCUCCAUGGCCGGGCCUAGUCGACCACUCUGCGCUAGACAGGGGCCGGAAGUACUACGGCUGCUUUUACGGGGCGUGUGGACCAAAGAACUUCCCGGAAGUAAGUUGUGGCUCUACUUUAUAAUUUCGCUAUAGCCUUAUAAGCACAAAGCCGAUGCUUUUCUGUCUUUCAGGUCCCAAGUUGUGGCUUCAAGAAGUGGUGGGAUGUUGCUAUAGAAGAGGAGAUUGGUAUGCUAAAAGAAACUCAAGAGGACAUCAAGUCUGUGUUCGAUGUGAUUGUCUCAAAGCUAAACCAGCUGGAGUCGAAGAUUGAGGCUCUUCAGGAGGCCUUGAGGAACAAGGAGGCUUGAAGCUUUGUUGUCCUAGUUGUCCUACAACUUCUGUUGAACUCUGUUGUCCUAGUUGUCCUUUCUGCCGUUUUAUUAUCCUAGUUGUCCUAUAAACCAGUUUGUUGUCCUUUGUUGUUCUAUAUUGCGCUUUGUUGUCCUUUGAAAGACUCUUUCAUCUAAGCCGUUUGCAGCUUUGUUUUGCUACUUUGCAUGUUUCAUACACUUUAACAACAUAAAACAAGUUAAAACGCUAGAAAUUAUCACCAAUCCAAAACACAAAACCAAUUCAAAAAAAAGAUCCACAAGUCCACUAAACCCAGUAAAACAAGUGGACUAUGAACACAAGUUCCACAAAUACCCAAAUCACACCCCCAAAUCACACAUAUGCAGUUGAAAUCUAAACCUUUCGCCUUUUCGAAGCCCUUGUCUCCACCCAGUUCUUCACUUCUUCUCCAGCUAUCUUCUUCCCUUUAUUCCCAUCUUUCUUCGAAGCUCUUGUUUCCACCUCUAUCUUCUCUUCGGGGUUCUCUUCUCCACCAACCACCAUUUUCUUCUUUUUCCCACCUUUUCCCUCUGUGUACGGGGUUUUCCUAUACCUAGACGGUUGAUGCUGCUAGGGUUGACUUCGCGGCUUCAUGUUUUAAAUUUAUAACCCUAGAUAUCUGCAAGUGCGCACCAGUGCGUUGUAGUACUUAGGGUGUCGAUCCACAGAGAAUCCACGCUUUACCUGCAGAACCUUAGAACCAGAAUUAGUAAACGAAGUCUAAGACGAAAUACGGGUUUUGGAUAGGUUGUGCGAUUUCUAUAUAUGUAUUUUAAAAAGGAAUUUGAAAAGGGAUUGAAAAGGGUUUUAAAAAGAGUUUUUGAAAACUAGAAGUGAAUAAAUCGAUAAUAAUCUAAAGGAUGAACAAAGCUCUUAAUAUUGAUCCUAGUAAAUUCUUAGAACUCGAGUCACGGACGUAUGAAUACGCCACUGUCGUGAUCAUAGACAACUAUCUCUCGCAACCCUGACCAGUAGGUUUCCACUAUGGCCAUGGAAGGGAAAAGAUGCAUUAUGUUUAAGACUCGUCAACAUUCACAGCUCGCCCAUAGGUAGAUUUCCACUCCUAUGGUUGAUCUGCUCUUCUCAAACUAGAUCCAGCCCCGGAUGAAUACUUUCGCAACAUCAAGGACCUAGAUCAGUCUCUACUUCGCGACGCUAGAUCCAUGCUUUAAGUAUAAGUUUAGAAGAAAGAUUUCUCGAAUUCGGCUUUGGUUUAUCUCGCGAAGAUCUUUAUCGAACAUAGUCGAUUCCCUUCGAUCGAGCCUAUAAACUCAUACCUCAUCAUUCCAAAACGUGCAUAAAGUAAAUAGAAAAGACGUGCAUAGAUUAAUAAGAAGAAAGAAGUAGAGAAAAACAAACAAGGAGAAGAAGAAGAAGCAUAUCGAUUUUAAGAGCUGGGCUCGGAGAAGAACUUCUCUUCAAAUCCUUUAAACAACUGAUCUAAUAUGAAGAAGAUAAAAACGAAAUUGAAUUGGGGUUUGGCCGCGGCCAGAGACUUGUAACCGCGGUCGAGAGUGUGUUCUCCAUGGUCGUGGCUCCUGGACCCAUGGGGAUUGGUCUUUGAGGUUGAAUCUUCAUUCUGUGCUUGCUUCCUUCGCAAAUUGCAGAACAUGUCUUCAGUGUAUCAAGGAUAUCCGGAGAUCUAACCAUUGGAUUGUCAUCAAACCAAUUGCAUUUGAAAGCUAGUUGUCUCCUUAAUAUUAUAUCCAAUUUUGGGAAUGAUCGGACGGUGAUAAGGUCUUCAUCGGAUGUGAAACUUCUGACGGCUGAAUUUAUCCAAAAUGAUCUUUUGCUCUAAAAUGCACACAUUUUGCCUUAAUUACCUUAAAAGAGUCUUGGAACUACAAAUACUAGAAAAACAUACUUAAAACACUUAAAAUAAAUAAAAAUCUUUUGAAAAGCAUUUAAAAACGAUCCACAAAAGUGGUCAAAAUACGGUGUUAUAAACAUCCCCAGACUUAAACCUUUGUUUGUCCUCAAACAAAGCAAGAUCUAAGCCUAGAAAAAGCCUUUAACAUAAAUCAUAGGGAACUCAAAAUUAUCAGAAACCAUACUCCUAGACCAUAAUCAAUCAUAAUGCAUCUAUUGGGUGUAGCCUAGAAAAUUCUCACCAAAAUACAAGCAUAACUAGUCUGUUGAUCCGUCAUGCAAAAAUUUACACACUUAGAUCUAACUUCCAAUCAACUAGCUCUUUACAUUCAUUAAAAGUUUCAGUGGUUCUCAUCAAAAGAAAAAUAAACAAGGCUAUCAAGGCUAGGUAUUCAAAGGGCUUUUUAGGGGUGAGGUGUAAAGUGUUUUGGGUUACCUUAAUUUCUGAAGAAGCAGGAUAUUAUGCAAAAUAGCAAGAGAGGAUGGAGCAGUUGAUAUCCACAGUUUUCAGUCAUGCUCUUCUUGCCAUAAGAUCUCUGCUUUUCUUCUUCAGGUUCUCCUUAUAAUUUCUCCAGACUUAGAUUUUUGUCUAGGUUAUUACAUCUCCCAUAAAUGAAUACUUGUUGCCUUUGCUCUAAAUAAUUUCGACAAUCUAACACUGUUUAGGCUUUUGUUUCCUUUCCUUUUCAUUCUUUUUCUUUCUCUUCUUUUUUUCUUCUUUAAUUUUUCUCUUUUUUUCUCUUUUUUUGUUUUGUUUUUUUAAAGAAAAGGAAACACCUUUAGAUAGAGUCCUAGAGAUGCACGAAAAUUACCAUUAAGAAUGAGAUUUCUGAGGCUGCUAAAGAUUGUUGAUACUCUUCCUUCUUAACUCCAUUCAGUCAUUGUCUUGAGUGACUGAAAACUGUGUCGUUCCUCCCUUUCCGGCUUUUUUGCACAUAUCUGCUGAUAUAAACUAAAGAGAGGAUGCAAGAGGUUCGAAAAUAAACGUUUUGGGUUAAAGGUAUGGUACCAGCUGAAGAUGAACUGGCCAUCUAGGACAAAAAAGAGUGGUAAAAAUGAGGAAAAAGAUGUCUUAGAUGUAUAACAUGAUGCCUGCCUAAAAUUCAAUGAUGAGAAAAUUAAAUAUCAAUAUUAAGUCCAAAUAAAAUGAGCUACUAUAUCCUGUCAAAAAGAAUCUCCAUGAAUAGAAGUCCUCUGGUGGGAGUUUAUAGUGCAAAUACUCUAGCUACCGCCUAGUCUAGUACUAAACCACAAAAGAGCAAUCAGGCAUAGUAUAGAAGCAUACAGGUUGGUAAUCAUCAUAGAUUUUUGUCAUAAUUCCCUCAAAGUGUAUUUUGUUUUGAAAACACUUUGAAAAAUCAAUUUUUUUUUUCUUUUUUUUUUUUUUUAAUAAAAAUGCAGAAUGCAAAGACUCAUCAAAGAAAUGUGGUUAGAAAGAGAUGAAAUCCUCCCCCAGACUUAAAUUACACUUUAGGAUGUGAAAAUAUUUCAGAGUAAGGAUGAGAAAUAGAGUAUAUAAUGAAUUGAAAAGAUAAAGAAAGAGAAAACUUACCUGGAUGUCUCGGGAUCAUGGUAUGGUGGUGUGGUGAUGGUAAAGGGUAGUAGAUGGUUGAAAGUGUGAAUGAGAAUAGAUUGAAGUCGUCAUACCAUUGAUUCGGGACAGAAAAAUUCGUUUUGGGUCACGCAGGAACGACCGCGGGUCGAGCUGGUAUGACCACGGGUCGAGCUGGUACGGCCGCGGGUCGAGCAUACACGACCGCGGGUCAACCAGGCACGACCGCGGGUCGACCAUGCACGACCGCGGGUUGGUACACAAUUUUUUUUUUUUUUUUUUUUUUCAAGGACUUGACACUAAGAAAAACAAAACCGAAAAUUAGUAAGAGAAGGUUGUCUUAGAGUCAAUUUACUAACCUCUGAGAUUGUGCAGGUGAAGACGAUUGGAUUCCCCGGCAACGGCGCCAAAAACUUGAUGCUGCUAGGGUUGACUUCGCGGCUUCAUGUUUUAAAUUUAUAACCCUAGAUAUCUGCAAGUGCGCACCAGUGCGUUGUAGUACUUAGGGUGUCGAUCCACAGAUAAUCCACGCUUUACCUGCAGAACCUUAGAACCAGAAUUAGUAAACAAAGUCUAAGACGAAAUACGGGUUCUGGAUAGGUUGUGCGAUUUCUAUAUAUGUAUUUUAAAAAGGGAUUUGAAAAGGGAUUGAAAAGGGUUUUAAAAAGAGUUUUUGAAAACUAGAAGUGAAUAAAUCGAUAAUAAAUCUAAAGGAUGAACAAAGCUCUUAAUAUUGAUCCUAGUAAAUUCUUAGAACUCGAGUCACGGACGUAUGAAUACGCCACUGUCGUGAUCAUAGACAACUAUCUCUCGCAACCCUGACCAGUAGGUUUCCACUAUGGCCAUGGAAGGGAAAAGAUGCAUUAUGUUUAAGACUCGUCAACAUUCACAGCUCACCCAUAGGUAGGUUUCCACUCCUAUGGUUGAUCUGCUCUUCUCAAACUAGAUCCAGCCCCGGAUGAAUACUUUCGCAACAUCAAGGACCUAGAUCAGUCUCUACUUCGCGACGCUAGAUCCAUGCUUUAAGUAUAAGUUUAGAAGAAAGAUUUCUCGAAUUCGGCUUUGGUUUAUCUCGCGAAGAUCUUUAUCGAACAUAGUCGAUUCCCUUCGAUCGAGCCUAUAAACUCAUACCUCAUCAUUCCAAAACGUGCAUAAAGUAAAUAGAAAAGACGUGCAUAGAUUAAUAAGAAGAAAGAAGUAGAGAAAAACAAACAAGGAGAAGAAGAAGAAGCAUCUCGAUUUUAAGAGCUGGGCUCGGAGAAGAACUUCUCUUCAAAUCCUUUAAACAACUGAUCUAAUAUGAAGAAGAUAAAAACGAAAUUGAAAGAUGCAUAAGAGUAAAAACCGAAUUAAAAUAAAGGUAGAACAUAAAGAGGGUUCAAGAGAAAUCUCUAUCUCCCUAAACUAAGAACUAAGAACAUAAAAGCAUAAAAACCCUAGAAAACUAAAUUUGGUGGCUCCCAAAAGGGAUUCUUCUGAGGCACACGAAAAUAGGUCUCCUUAGACACAUAUUAUAGGUCUUGAACUCUCUCCAGUCGUCCUUAGGGUUUCCAAUGAAGAAAAGACGAAUUGGGCUUGAAACAGGGUCAUGGGUAAGCCUUUUAGUCGGCACUGGUCGCGAGGCUUCUGACCGCGGUGAAUUGGGGUUUGGCCGCGGCCAGAGACUCGUAACCGCGGUCGAGAGUGUGUUCUCCACGGUCGUGGCUCCUGGACCCGCAGGGAUUGGUCUUUGAGGUUGAAUCUUCAUUCUGUGCUUGCUUCCUUCGCGAGACUGCAUAACAUGUCUUCAGUGAAUCAAAGAUAUCCGGAGAUCUAACCAUGGAUUGCCUUCAAACGAAAUUGUAUUUGAAAGCUAGUUGUCUCCUUUAUAUUAUGUCCAAUUUAGGGAAUGAUCGGACGGUGAGAAGAUCUUCAUCGGAUGUGAAACUUCUGACGGCUGAAUUUAUCCAAAAUGAUCUUUUGCUCUAAAAUGCACACCUUUUGCCUUAAUUACCUGAAAAGAGUCUUGGAACUACAAAUACUAGAAAACCAUACCUUAAACACUUAAAAUAAAUAAAAAUCAUUUGAAAAGCAUUUAAAAACGAUCCACAAAAGUGGUCAAAAUACGGUGUUAUCAACGGUCCUCCUACCCUCUUCACUCGUGGUGAUGGAGGUGUUGCGGCUACUAUUGGUGUAACAAUCCGUGGUGAUGGAGGUGAUGAUACGGAGACUUGCCUUGAUGAAGAAUCUGGCGGUGGCGAGGAUUCUGGUGGUGGUGUAGGGUCUCGUUGUGGUGGUGGUGUAGGGACUCGUUCUGGUGGUGUCCCGCUCGUGCUGGUGGUGGUAUGACCGCUCUCGGUGAAGAGGCGGGUGGUGUCCCGACUCGUGCUGGUGGUUGUAUGACUGCUCUCGGUGAAGAGGCGGGGGCCGGUGGUGUCCCAACACCGGUGAACUCCAUAUCCUCUUUCAAAUGUCCUUCAAUUAUUUUCACUCUCCCAGCCAAAUCAUCAAACCUCUUAGCCAUUCCAUCAAUCUUUUCGCUCAUUUCCCUAAACCCAUUCUCCAUCGCUUUCUGAAUCUCCACCAAUGAUGCAGCCGGUUCAUCCGGUUCUUCUUCAAUAACUUGCCCUCGACAACCAAUCUCCAAGUCGUACAGUUGUUUCCAGCAUAUUUUUUUCUUUUUGAUGGUGAGAUAAUCUGUCCAUGACUCAACACACGGAUCAAAGACUCCUAUCCCAUCAUCAUAUCCAGGUUCCAGGAUGCGAUUUAUAAGAGCUUCUUCAUCAGAGUCAGGUUUCAAAAUGCUAAUAAUAUCCUGUAUAAAAACCAAAAUAAGUUACUUCUUUUCAACAUAAAUCAUUCUUAUAUCGAACUAAUAAGAAGAUGCUGCUAACACUAACCUCAGUACUAUUGCCUAUGGCGUCGUUAAUGUCAUCCAAAGGAAACCCUUUCAUGCAUAUUUCAUUGAACUUUCCCUUGCACAUUCGUGGACACUCUCCAUCUGCAGCUACAACUUCUCGACAUCUCUGUCCCAACUCCGGAAUACACUCGAACGCCAUAAUCUACACAUAAAUUCAAAAUAUCAAAAAUCCAAUAUCAUAUAGCUAAUACUUUAAAACUCAUAUUUAAUACUUACCUCCAAUGGAAGAAUGAAACCAGCAAAGCUGCAUGAUUGUCCUUUUGGUUUCGCACACCCUCUGAGCUUUUUCAUCACACGCUGUAUCUCCUUCAUAGAGUUAUCAAACAUGUAGCGUCCCCAGGGAAAUGUCUUACAUAGGUUCAGGUCAUUCACCACUCGAAGUAAGAGCGACUCUAUGUUGCCAUUAGCCUUAGACUUGGCUCUCAGCACUUUGCAUAAGAAAUACAGUACUGCCAUCUUCUUCUUAUCAAGAGAGCUCCUCAUUGACCCUAGCUUCGUUUCGACUUCCUUAACUGUAAUUGCCUUCUUCCUUCCAAACUGUCUCUGUACAAAGCUCCAACCACCAAAUUGCUCAUACUUACUCGGGUAUUCGUGCCAAUCUAAGCCACAGAGGAGCGCAUGUUCUCUCAACGAGUAACGGAUGGGAACUCCAUUUACAACAAACCAGCACUCACUUUCCUUCUUGGUUUUGGCAGUGUGGAGGAGGAGCAUCCAUAGACCUUGACUCAUGUGAUUCGGCUCCUUUGGCAUGUGAAAUAUGUGCUUGAAUUGAUCAUGAGAUUUGAACCAUUUCACCUCUUCUAGCAUUCCCUCUAUCAUCUCCACAACUUGCGUCACAGAACACCUAGUCACUAUCUUGCAAGCUUUGCUGUACUCGGUUGGCUCGAAGAAAAGCUUCUCAGGUAGCAUUGGCAAGCUACCAUCAUCGUUAUCCUACAAUUCAAACAAUUUCUUAUUUAGUUGUCCCAGUUGCUCCAUCAACAAUCCGUCAAUCACCCACAAAUUAUCAUACGCAGUUGUUCCAGUAGUCCUAAAUUAUACCAUACCAUAUAUGAAUCAAAACAAUUAUUCCAGUUGUCCUACCACCUUCUAUGUACUAGCUAAACAUGUUACGACCCUAAAACCAAACAAAAACCGUCUAACCUGUAAUCGCAUUUCACAUCAACUGAUACAUACAUUAUUUACUAAACAUACCUCCUCUACUUCGUUCCCAAGACCAUCACCAGAGUUUCUGAACUCCUUCCUCCUCUCUUUCCUCAUCUGCUUCCACAUUGCCUUCUUCCUCAUCUUCUUCCACAUCUCCUUCAUCCUCUCCUUUGUCCUCUGCUUCAACCUCUGCUUCAUCCUCUCCUUCGUCCUCUGCUUCAUCUUCUACUUCAUAUUCUACUUCAUCCGCUGCUUCAUCCUCUCCUGCCUCCUCUCCUUCCUCCUCUUCUUUUUCCUCUCCUUCCUCCUCUUCUUUUUCCUCUCCUUCCUCAUCUCCUUCAUCUUCUGCUUGCUCAGAUUCUCCUUCUUCUCCUUCCUCGUCUCCUUCCUCAUCUCCUUCAUCUUCUGCAUGUUCUUCUUCGUAGCCGAUGGGGGUUGUUUCUUUUUCCAUUACAAUCCCCACCGCGUCAGUGACAAUUACUCUGGAGAACCCACACCUUCUGUCGACAGCGACGGGUCAUCAGGCGAUGGUCAUUUUUUGAUGGCGACGGAUCAUUUCUCGGUGUCGACUCGUAAACAACUCCACCUUUCAUUAAUUUCACCAUUUUGAGAACGAAGACCGGUGAACAAAACGACGCGACGACGGAUUACGAAUCUAUACGUUAGGGAUGACAGUUACGGCGAAACUCUUUUUCGUUUCCGGCGAGAGGGAGACGAACAAUUUGGGAAAUUAGGUUUUUUACAGAACUGUAAAUUAUAAAUCGAGUUAAAUGUUUUAUCCACUCGGGUCGGGUCGUUUGGAUGGGUAAAUGUCGGUUUUUUUUGUAAUUACUUUAACUUCUAAGGAUUGUUUAGGUUUUGACCACAAUUUUCGAUUUAAAGAAAUUCAAAACUAAAUGAUUUAUUAUAACGGUGGCAUAGCGGACCAUAUUUUUAGAGAUGGUGGCUUCCGAGCUAUUUCCCUAGAAAUAUUAGUCUGUUGAGCUUGUUACCAUUUAGUCACACAAAAAAGAAAGAUAAAAGACCAAAAAAAGUUUAGCAGAAGAGAUAUUUUAACCUUUUUUCCAAAUUCCUCAAAAUUAAAUUAGAACCACUAUAAAGAAAAACUCGACACCAGAAAAAAUAUAUUUUCUUAAUUUUGGAAAAAAUGACUUAUUUUUAAUUUAUGCAUAUUUCUUUUUUUCUUAAUUGUCACUACAGUUAUUUAGCGGUUGAAUUAAUAUAUCUCCCAAAUGAAUGUUAUUAUUUUAGAGGUACAUUCAAUAUCCCUAAUUUCUUAAAAUCUAAACUGGGUCUAGUUAUUGAUUUUUUUUCUUUCAAAACUGUGAAAUAAUUUAGAAUUAUUCAAUAAGUAUUAUUUAAUUAAAGGGAUUAAAUGAGAUUUGUAUAUAUUUAAUUUGGUAAUUCACAAUGAAAAAACCUAUUUAAUCAAAUAAAAACCGAAAAGUUGCUAUUAAACAGAUAUUCAUAAAAGUGAUUAUAUUUUGCUAUGUGUAUAUAGUUUUUUUUUUCUUUUUGAAGAAAGGUUUUUAAAUUUAAAGGAUGAGAAAGAAAAAGAAAAUAAACCAAUAUUCCAAGACCUUCGUGUUUUUGGGCUUAAUCCAUAAUGCAUAAUUAAUUAAUCGGCGUCAAAGAACAUAUUGAACCAAACCUUAGACAGCUACAUAUAUGGAAAAUUAGCCGGAAAGGUGAAGAAUCACCAAGAAAGACAAAGAUCUCAUCAAAUGAGAAAGAAAAAGUGGAGAGCCAUAGUUGCAACAUCAUUUGAGGUCCUCAUCACAUGCAAUAAGUGAUCACGGAAUUCAUCGAACUGGCUGCAAAUAACACAUGUAAGAUCCACGAUAAGCCCCCAACUAAGAAUUUUGUUUUUAGAGCAUCAAUUAAGCAGAACCAGGGGACGGAGGCAGUAAGGUGAGAGGGUGGUCAGCUGACCCUAGUCAUUUUUAGAAUUCAUUUAUAUCUGAAAAAAAAAUAAUAUUGGCCCCAACAUAGAAUUAAUUUAGAUACAUAAGACCCAAAAAAAACAUAAAAUAAAAUCACAGAAAUAUACUAGAGAGUUAUAUUUCAGCUACAAUUUUAUCCAUGUGGCUAAAGUAAAGUAAGAAAUUUAGCCACCUAAUAUUAAUUACUAUAUUUUUACUAAACACACAAAUGAUAUAUAUUGAAGUUUUAGUGUGUUUAAUUUUAUAUUAAUAAACAAUUUGACCCCGAUAAAUAAAUAUUCUAGUUCCACCACUUCACAACCAACCACGUGAAGAAGUUGUCCUUUGGGAUGCCACAUGCAUAUUAGGCCGUAAUUUUCCAAGAUAACACAGUCUCAUGUUGUUUAAGCAUGUUGUAGAUUUUCACGAGUUUGAUAUUUGCCCUAGAUCUUUUCUUCAACGAUCCAUUCAUAGUAAUGGUCGUUAUCAUCAAGGAGGAGUGUAGACAUAUAGGAGUUUGAAUUAGAACUAGAUUAUCCGGUCUAGCAGGACGAAUCUCCCAAUCUCCGUUGUUGCAGAGUUGAUGUAGGCUAUAUAAAUCAUUGCAAGGCGAUUUUUAGGGUGAUUAGGGUUUUGCAGCGAAAGUCUUCCUUUGGCCGCAAGUAUGGCGGCGCCGGCGGUUCCUCCGCCUCUGUCCCCGGUGGAAAACAUUGAGGGGACGCAGGCGAUUAGUGAUCAACGACAGGUUUCUGGUUUGAAUGCAAGGGAAGCUGAUACGAAUACGAUCUCGGGAAAGUCCAAUUCGACGCAGCUGGAUUCUCAACCAGCAUCAAAGCCGCUUUAUGCAUCAAUUGUUCAAAAGAAACUUGGUCUUCUGAAGCAUGAUUUGUCAGUGUCGAUGGUUGAGGGAUCUCCUCUGGUGGAAAUUCCGGAUGAGAUCAUCGAUGGAUCAGUUCCUCUGUGGGAUGAGAUUCUAAUUGGGAAGUUUCUAUCUCGAGCUCCACAUGUUGCGAAAGUACAUGUGAUAGUUAAUAAGAUCUGGCCGAUUGGAAAUAUGAAUUCAAAGGUGGAAAUUUUUGUGGUUGAUAAAACCACAAUGAAGUAUAAAAUUCGGGAUGAAGCAGUUCGUAACAGAGUCAUUCGCAGGGGAAUGUGGAACAUUGCAAAUGUGCCUAUCGUGGUGUCUAAAUGGUCUCCUGUGGUUGAAGAAGCGCAGCCGGCCAUAGAAGUCAUGCCAAUGUGGGUCACCUUAAAGAACGUCCCGCAUAAAAUGUUCCAUGAGAAAGGUCUGGGAUUUCUCGCUAGUGCGGUGGGGAAACCAACAAGGCUUCAUCCCGAAACUGUUAUCUGCAACAGUUUUGAUGAGGCUAAGGUGUUUGUGGAGGCUGAUCUUACAAAAGAAUUGCCUACAGAAUAUCGGUUUACAUCUGAGAAAGGGAUCGAUUCUUUUGUGGAGUUUGAGUACCCGUGGCUUCCUCCUAAGUGUUCACAUUGCGACAAAUGGGGUCAUGUGCUUGAUGGUUGUAUGUUAAAAAGUGGGACGAAAGAGAUUUUGAGGAAAAACACGACUAAUACACAACGUUCAUUCCCUACUAUAGCUGAUGAUGGUGGUGACAAGGCUCCUAGGGAAACUCAUGUCCUAUCUAAGGAUACAAAUGACUCUGCUCUCCACGUGACUAAUGCUGCCGAGCUAGUCAUUGUUGCUUCGGAGGCAAAGGAGUCGGUUCCAGAGACGAAGGUUGUAGCUGAGGAGAGGGAAGAGGGUGAGUGGUGCUCGCCUAAGAAAGUUAGUAAAUCGGGAGAGAAAGAGGGAAGGGUUAGUACUGAUCCUGCUAUCUCUCCUUCACGUUUCCUUAUUCUAGCGGAUAUAGAAGAUCAGGAAGAUGAAACUGGUAUUGCAGAAGACUCUGUUCCAGUAGAAGAGCAGCCAGGAUCGGAAGCUCCUGCUUCGAUAGAUGGUCUAGCCAUCAAACAGACUUCGAAACAGAGACAGAAAGAGAAGC
rnacentral:lncRNA from 1 species